CAUUGGUGGUGGGACAACUGAAAGGGCGGAUGCCUCAACCGCAGAGUGGGAGUCUCACCUUUCUCUUCUUAUGUUGGGAGUUUUUGUCCCAUAAAAAAGAAUAUACCUUUUCAUCAAUCCGUAGUUCAUCCUACUCAUCAUCAUAUACUAUAGAAAAUCAGAGCUUCUAAAGCAGAACGGAUGAGGCAGGAGAGACUGAAACGAGAACAAGAAAAGCCACUUCCUCAACAGAACAAGUGAGAGCCACGGCCUCUGGUCGAACAGCCUCUUAAGUGGGUCGCUCCUUUCUCUCUCGCUUUAUUUAGCUCGACUCAAUUACAUUGAUCCGAUCCUGCUCAAGAAAUAAUCAGAGUGUUGAAGACCGUCCUUCAGCAUAAUCUAAUAGGAUCAAAGUAUUUGAGCUUUGCGCCUAGCCUUCGGACGGAAGAAAAACAAAGGUCUAUAUGAACUACAUCGCAAUAUUCUUUGCACCUCACGCAAUGAUCUUUGCUCCUCCUUCUACGCUCUCCAUGGGCUCGACUGAGAUGGACGGAGGCUAAGACAGGGAUAUUGAUGAUUGAUUGACUGGUCCGAAGGACUAUCCAUCAGGGAGGCUCAAAGCAAGCCCACUACACGGGAAGAAUGGAUAUUGUAGACCGCGGGGGAGGGGUCAAAGAAUUUGAGAAGAAGCGAAGAAAGCCCUCACUGAGCGAAGCCCACGUAGCGGUAUGAAAGAGUAUGAAAUGACUAUGCGAGCGUACAGAUCCCCAUAUUCAUUAGGCGAAGGACUUAUUUAUUGAACUGAAACUGACUGAACUUUCCUUUCACCUCUCCUUCUCUUUCUACACUCGAAGAGCUGAGCUCCAGAUCCAAUGCUGAUGGCAAGGCUUGAGCACUACGAAUGAGCUCUGGCGUCCGGAAACUCACUCAUUCAAAAAAAAAGAUGAGAUCGAUUCAUUGCACUUCCUUCUUGACUUCCGCGUAGUGGGCCCUCCCUCUCCUGAGAAUGAAAGCGAGAGGGUUCGGAUGUAGUCCGAAUCGAGAAAAUACUGAGUUUAGGCCCCUUCUCGAGUGAAGUAUAUUGGGUCCUCCUUUCUUCAACUCCAGGAUCUCAUACCGAUGCCUUCAAUCAAUGGCCCGGCCAGGGGAGUUCAUUAAAGAGUUCGAGUCCACUCUCUCUACUUAAAUUGAGAUUUGGGAAAUCCAUGAUUUAGUAGGAAAAAGACUUACUUGAGCAAGAGCAUUCCUCAUCCUAAACCUCGACUCAUUGAAUUCCACUAAGAAGGAUGAUGUUGGGAUCUUCCCUUUGUCCCUGGUCUAUUCCCCUUUCGAGCUUCCUCCACCUUCCACUCUCCUUAUCAGUAGCAAGAUCAGCAGCAAGGGCGAGCCCUAUCUAUCUGAUUAUCCUUUUCGGAGACUUCCCUUCGCAAGAGAUCAUAUCUGGGACUACGGAGAAUUCUCCUCCUUCCCAAUGAAAGAAAAAGUAUGACUCUUCCCUGGUCGAGACUGAUAACCUAGUCCUAUGGAGCCCCACUCUUCUUUCUUCUCUUUCUUCGUAGUAAAUACCUUGAUUCUAUACAGAAUAAGAUAACUCCUUUCGUAUUCAUACCUCGUCUACAUUAAUAGUGAGCGCUGACUCCUCGGGUAAGCCGUUGAGAUCCGGAAGGAUUGAUCCUACUUAUUCAAAUUCAUUCCGAGGCCACUGACUGACUAAUUCUUCUAGCUUUACUCAAGCGAAGAGAAUCGCUUCCGAUUCAUCAUUAUUACAGAGAUGCUAAAUUCAAUGACUGAGAAAACCCAGCCUAUAUCUAACCGAUGUCAGUGACUCACUCUUAUGCUAUGCAUUCAAUGCCCUAAAAGCACCUCUAUCCUGAAAUCUCUCGACUUUCAUCCUAUUUUCCGGUAUGGACGCGAAGCUCCUCUUCCGAUCCUGGGUGGAGCAUAAAAGGACCUCCCCCUCAACUCUUAAGGAAUCAGACUCCUUCUCAUGAAAGAAAGACUUCUUCCGACCCUCUCCCGAAACAAGAGCAUUCUAAACUUCUACAUCGCGGAGAUAGAGGACUUCGAAUAUGAAUUCAGCCUCCUACUACCUUGUCUUUCUUCUUUCUAUAUUCUUGAACUCAUUGAUAAGGACAUAUUCACUUGCAUCCGAAUCCGAGAAGAAGUCAAGCCCACUGGUCUCGCCUUUGUCCUCUCCCACUAAUUAAGGUCGUCGAGCGGACUCUGAUGAAAGGCAAUUCCCCGAUCCUACUUAGUUAUAGCUGGGUUCUAACCUUUAUAGCUGGAGGACUACUUGGUCUAGCUGCUUGGGUAAGCCCUUUCUAUCCUAUUAGGUCUCGAAGCUUCCUUUGUUCCGAUCCAAGUGCCAUAGUUCCGAUCAGAGUCAACUCGGUCCUUGCUUCCUAUUGGUGCUUUAUAAUAUAAGUCGAGUCGUAUGAUAACCUCUAACUCUUGCUUCGGCAACAUCUCAUUCCCUGUCUCCUGAGAACAGUUAUUCAGUAAUGGAAUAAGAGAGUUUCAUACCGCUACGUGGGACUGAUGGAUUCCAUGGAACAAGAGUCACAGCCGCACUCAAUCAGUGACGUCGUAUGAUAACCUCUAACUCUUGCUUCUGAGAAUACUUAUCGCUUCCAACGGAACUUAGUCCUACGAACUGAAAGAUCCCCUUACAAGCUCAGCUACUCACUGUAGAGCAUACUAACUGCCCGCAGCACCCUCCUCUUCCCCCCGCCGAGAGGGCUUCCUAUGGAGGUGGUUAUGCUUCUUCGCAUACGAUCCCUAUCAAGUCAAGCUCCUUCUUCCACUCCCACUAGGUUUCUUCAUACAAUUCCCGCUCCGUGGGAGUUCUAGCUGCCGAGAGAAGAGUUACCUGUCUGCGUCCCCGCUCCGUGGGCUUCUUAGUCUCUGACCUUGAUUCCAGGACAAAUAACUAUUCUCCUUCCUCGGUAAAUCGGGAAAGCUGAUAAGGGCAACUUCGUCUUACCUUGAAAAAGUAGUUAUUCCCUGAACACUCGUCUUCUCGGGCGGCUUCUUAUAACAUAACCUUCCACUCGGGACACCCGUACCUAACCCUAUGAUUCAGAUGAAUGAGAUCGCACGUCUUUGAGUACUUCCCGCCGAUGAAUUGGGAUUUCUUUCUCAUAAUAGAUAAAGAAAAGAGAUGCAUGCUACUUAAAUGAGAGAUUCAGACCUCUGAAGAAGACCUAUCCUGGGGAAGUCUCGCCCUUUCUCCUCUCGCUUUGUUCGAGCAUAUUUCCUCUUUCUUCCACUCGAAAUCCAUAUAUAUCCUACCAGCCCGCAACCCUUGUUUCGUUACUGACUCUAAUUCUAUUCAUUGAAUACCGUAAAUAAGUAGAUAGAAGAAUAGUUCUUGCAAUGGUAAAGCUCCUAACCCCGAUCAGGAAACCCAUGAAAGAGCAGACUCAACGGAUAAGUCUUCAUCAACCCUAUCUGGGAAAAGGCAAGUCUGAUCCCGGUCCUUUGUCUCCAUUCUGAGAUUCCGAGUUGAACAGGGCGUGAACCUUCCCAUAAUUCAAAGUAUGAAAUAGACUUUUCAUCUUUUCUAAUCCGGAAUGCGGAGUAGGAGGGAUCUCAACAAGAUAGACAUCUUUAUCCCAGGAUUUCUCCUUUCAAGCCUUUCCUUUCAUAAUCGUUCUUUAUAUAAGGGGUUGGGACUCAAUAAAUCCAGUAAGAAGGCAGGGAGAUCUAGCAAGAGCAGACUCUUGUUCAACGACAGCUAGAACGAAAGCUAGGAGAUAAACUGAUUAUUCUGAAAGAACCUCUCCUCUUCCUCUGGUCGAGACGUGCCGGCUCUUCCUCUUGAGAAUUCCUGCGUAUCGUUCAGUUACUCGUAUUGUAGGUGGAGCUCCAUAACGUUCUAGCCUCUCGCUGUGGAAUAGUAGUUAUCCCAGGAAGACAAUCCACAGUGAAAAAAGUAGAUCUGAAGCCACUGAUAGGCGGCCUUUCUAUCUUAUGCAUGAGCUGAUGGGUCUGUCUGUCCGCAGCUGUGAAUUCUAGCAAGAAAGCUAUGUCUCUUUCGUGACAAGCACUCGGAUAUUCUUUCUCUUUCUCUGACGCUUGGAGUGAUGACCUCAUAAGACCGAACCCUAUUGCUGCUUUGCACCUGGCCGGUCGAUCUGACUAACUAAGUUCUUAAAUGGCACAGCUCUCUCACAUAUGAAUACCUUUACUGUCGAGCUAGGGUUUCUCCUAUUUCAUACCGCUACGUGGGUGACUCCCGAUCCUCUCAGUCUCGGUCUCCUUUUCCCGGGUUGAAGGAAGCCUUUCUUUACGUCAAUAUUCUUUUCACCUUAUUUAUUCAAUAUGAUUCAAAUAUUUCUAGUCCUUCGCGGAGGGAAAUACAAGAUUUUGCUAGGUUUUGCCCAUAGGGAAGUAGCAAGAAAUCAUGAAAAAUCAGUCAAAAUUAGACAAUUAUCGUUAUUUAGAGAAAACCGAGAAAGUAUGAAAAAGAAGCAAAAAAGCCGGGAAAUUGCAAGGCAUUGUCCUAUUUGAUUUUCGAAAUUCACAUAGUUUGUGAAAACUUUUCUAAUGGAUAGUCCGGAGGACGGAGAAAUACGGGUCUAUUCUUCUCAAUAUUCUUUGACCCUCCAGGUUAUUCAAUCCUAAUGAUUCUUUCAUUCGAGUGAAUGAGUGAAUUAUUCUUGAAUUCGAGUUAAUGAGCUGAUUUUCUUUGAUUGACUUUGAACAGGUCCUUCGGCUAGGCGCAAAGUUCUAAUGGAUAGUCCUACGGACUCCGGACGGGGGAACCGAAGGCGCAAAGAAUAUUGCCCAUAUUGCCUCUCGUCUUAUUCCACUACUUAAGAAAAGCAAAGAAUAUUGCGAUGAAUCAUAUUUGAAAGGCGGUCGAUGAGCAAAGAAUUUGCACGGAGGCGCAAUGAAAUAUGCGAUUGAGAGUAGGUGCUUUUUCUGAGGGGUGAGGGGUAAAUCAAGAGGUCGUAUUGGUCGUGGAGCAGGCCACGAGGAAGGGUUACGGUUCGACUUCAAUCAAUUCGGAGAUUGAGAAUAAUCUAAGAGAAGGUUGCCAGUGAGGUGGUUCAUGUGAGAGAGGAAGAUAGCCACUGAAUAAGGAUAAUCAUCUUUCUUCUGCAUAAGCUUGUUAAGAUGACAACUGGAUAAGCUGCAUCAUAAGAUAAGCUUUCCACGGAUUCAAAGGGCUAGUAGGCCCCAUGGCAUGUAGACCUCGCUCCAGCCUUUGCCUCAGACAUUCUUCUUCAGUCGAGCUAUUUCAUAACCUAGGCUUUCUCUUUGGACGGAGGCUGAAUUCAUUGAGAGAACUUAUCCUAUUUUAUGUCUUUUAUUGAGGCUAGGGCAACUAUUUCUCAAAAAUACAAAAGAUGUAAAAGCUCGGGGAGUCAGACGAAGGAUUAAUCUCUGCACAAUAAGGAAGAGAGCAGAAUCAAUGAACAUCCAUAAAAGAAAUUAGGGGCUGCUGCUUAUCCAGUUGUCAAUACAGCUUCGGGCUUGAAAGCAUUGAGGCAGGCAUAAGCCGGCCCAUCAACCUAGCCCCUCUUAUGAGAAUAAGGCACAUAAGGCGCAAAGAAUAUUGCGGAAAAGAAUAUUGAAAAUGAAAACAUCCGUCAAAAUUAGGGUUGUGAACUAAUCUUAGAGCACUCAAAAAAAGUACCAUACCUUGGGCGGAUAGCGGGAAUCGAAGGAUUGCGGGCAGGACAAUGAAAACUGACUAACCCCCUGUACCCUCACCUCAUUACUCUGAGGAAUUGCUUGAACUGCUAGUGAGAGAUGGAAUCGAAGCAGUAGAAAAUGGUAAAGGAAGGACCGCUACGUGGGCAUCUGGAAGUCAUCUUCACCCUUGUUUUUGGUCAGGUAUAACUAUUGAACUCGGGGCUGAUUACUCUACUCUACUGCCUUAGCUAGAGGUCGAUCGGCCCAAAACCAUACUCUAUUUCAUCCGUGGAUUCCUAAGUCUCUAUACUCUAUUCUAUAUACGCAAAUCCUUCCUUUCCUCGCUGGAAUUGAAACCUAAAAGAAAUACGAAUUGAAUUUUGAUGGGACGUGGAAUAGGUCAAGGUUGAGGGUAGAGUUACCGCUACGUGGGCUGCUCCAGGGAAGACCCCGGACGGAAAGAGAGAUAGAAAGAGAGUUCGAUCCGAAACAUAAGAACGAAAGAAGAAAGGAUUAAGGAAGACUCCGCGAACAAAGCCCUUGGGAAAGAGAUCUCAUUCUUUGAAUUGAGUGCUAUGCAUUCACAAAAAAGAGAAAGGAAGAAGACUCCUAACCGUCCGAAGGACUAUUCAUCAUAUUUGAGAGGUUAAACUGGGGGUCUCACUUCAAGUUCGAGAUCUGACUCAUGGAGUGACUCAAAAAAGAUAACUUAGAAGAAUGCCAGCAUUUCGGAGUAGAUAUAUUUAUAGUAGUUCUAGCAAAAAAAUAGUUCACACCUGUCCUCCGGACUACGGAUAAAUCACCUGGACCUUUCUUUGGCCCUGCGGACUCCGGACUGCGGACUACGGACUUCUUCUUCUUUAAAAGGAAGGGUCCAGGUUUCAUAAGACUCCUUCUACGCGGUCUCGCAAUAUUCUUUUCACUGGGGGAGGCUCAAUGCAAUUUGAGUUGCGACUUUCACGAAAAACCCUGAUAAGUGAACCCAGGUCUCGCUACCAAACCAUCCCGUGUAGUGGGAUCGAGCCCCUUACGAGCACUGUCGCAGGGGAGUCGUUGGUUCCGCUUGCUCUUUCAGUACGAGGAUAGAGAAAGAAAGGCUCGCGAUAAGCCUUGGCUUUGAGAUGAGGCGAGGCGGAGUGGCUGAUCAGCUAGGGCAAUUCCCUUUCUUCAGUGCUUUGGCUCUUUCCUUAUUUUAUUGUGAAAUAAACUUAGCUGCCUAACGCCUUUCUGAAAAUCAAAGGAGAUUUCUUGGUCGAAACCAAAGCACUGAACUUAGUCGCGAAGAAGAAGCGAGACCCCUCCGGAGGAGAAGGAUAGGGGUUCAAAGAAUAUUGAAGCAAGGAGCAAAGAAUAUUGCGAGACCUCAGGAGUCUGAGAUCAAUGAAUGAGUGGAGUAUGAAAGAUCAGAGUGAAUAGGAGAGAGAGAAGAGAAAGAAAGGGCUUGUCCCCCACGGAGCAGGGGAAGUAACUGCAAGCUUUCUUUCCACCUUUGCCGAAUAGGGGUGGUUGCGGGCAUUGAAAGAAUGGGUUGGGGCCCUAGCUUCUUGAGGCAGUGCCAGUCGCAGUUCUCGUUCUUGAAGUUCUUCUUUCAACUCAUCCGCCUUUGGAGGUUAGCUAUAGCUAGGCCCAUAAUGAAUUAGACUAGAAGCAAGCUCGACCUCUGUAAUAGUACAAGCAGAAGAAAUCCAAAAACUCUACAUAUUAAGCUGUAAAAUCAAUAUAUAAGGAUCUUUGAGCUUAACUAAGGCGCAAAGAAUAUUGCGAAGGCUCAAUUUGAGGAGGAAAGAAUAUUGCGGAAAAGAAGAAAGGAGCGCAAGGCGCAAAGUUCGGUUAAUUACGGAAAGUCCGGAGGACAGAUAAAGAAAGGCUUUUGAUUUGACUUUUCCAACUCCGUUCCAGUUCGCCAAGGAGUGUGAGUCUUGAGCGGAGGCAUAAAAAGCCGAAUCAUAAAGACGGAGCACCACCCACUCUUUUUGAAAGGGAGAAAACGACUCAAAAAAAGAGGAGCAUCUCCAUGGGCGAGGACUCUUUGGACGGAGGACGAGGAUCAGAAAUCAAGAAAGCACUACGCGGGAAGAAUGGAUAUUGUCUUAGGAGCAGCGAGACCGCGGAAGGACGAGUCUUAUUCCACCAAGGACCACGACGGAGCAGCUCGCAUAUUGAAUUGGGCCUCCUCGAAUAUGAAUUCAUCCUAACAAAAAGAAGAAAUAUCCUCUCCGUUAGGCGCAAAGAAUUUGCGAAGGACUAUCCAUAUUAACCUGUGACGCCUUCUGACUAUUCAUCAUAUUUUUAAGAAAGCACUGGACUUUUCUUUCUCUUUGACAAUUGUAAAAGAAGGUGAAAUAUCCUUUAUAGGUCUGACCUUUCAAAGGUAAGAGGUCAAAGCAAAGCAAGCUUGCGAAGCAAGCGAGGCAAGAGCUUCUUUCAGCUUUUCCCGAACCAUUUGAACUCCAAUUUUUUCCUCUGCUGCUUUCAGCCCACUCCACUUCAUUGACCGAGACUUUCUAUUCGGUUAAAGACCUAGCCACGAGACCAACUCCUGUCUUCUGAGAUCAAUUCCCAGAUGCUUCGAGGCCGCAAGCUUCUUUAGUUUAGAGAAGGAGAUUUCUUCUGAAUCAGGGAAACUGCUCAACCGGAACUCUUCCCAUAGGCAUGAUUAUGCACUAGCAAGUUCCAAGAAGAGAAGUCAUAAGCCAAAGAUGUAUUCGAUCCUGAAUUUCAGGUAAUCUUGGCCGAUUGGUGGGCCCACGUAGGGCUUUGAUGAGCGAAAGAGCAUCCUCAACUCCCAGUCCCGGGUAAAGGUCAAGGUCUUUCAAAAGUCCAGAGAAGAAUUUUCAAUGGAAAGGAGUCAAGUUCAUCCGCAGGGAAGGCAAUCCAAUCGUCGGAAGAAGCGUCUUUCAAAAUCAAGCUCAUCCUCAUCAUUCAAGGCAUAUUUCAUUCCGCCUCAGUCCUAUCCAUAUUAACCCAGAGACUGUUAAGGAGUGCAACUGAUUAAUGGAAAAAAAUAGUCAUUUGAGAAAGAUUCUCUAGACAAAAACCUCCCUAGCUAGCUGCAAUCCAAACCUCACCUCUCCCAUGUUGGGAAUUCUCUUCUGCUCGUGGAUAUCUAAUGCUAGAAGUUCGAGCAAAUAUAAGGAAGCCGCAGGCUUAGGUUCGUCAUUUAUUGACGGAUUUUCCGGGCUUAAAUGACUUUCUUUUUCCUUCUACCAAUCCCAGUUCGGCUAAGACGAGGCAAUGUAUAUUGUUUUCAGUGGCACGAGCUUCUUCUUGUGAUGAGACUUUGGAUCAAUUGAACCGGGUCCAGGGGUUGACUCUAUGGCUAUUCCGCUUUUUCCGACAGCUGCUAACUCACUGGCACGCUUAAGGCCCUUGCGCCUGGUCUUUCAAAGCCUUGGGCUUGAGCAAGGUUCGAAUUCCGGGUUUUAUAUAUAUAUAAAAGGUGGGAGAACUCCGAGCAAUAUUCUUUCCUCCUUGCCUCUCUUUUCAAAUGCUCUUAAAUAAAGAGCGGUUACGCCAUCAACAGCGAAAUCGAUGGCACUCGCCUUCUUUCAGCAUUGAAUAAGUAACUUCCUUUCCCACCUCUCCCUUCCGCUGCUAAGCAGAAUAUAGCUCUUCUUCCUUUCCUCCCGGGUGAAGAAAAGCCUAUUCACCUUUGCUUUAAUGGCGAAGGACUCUUUCUGGUAUAAGGCGAUUCAAUCUUCUUUGAACCUAGUGAACAUCUUCUUUUGAUUGCUAAACUCUACUUGAGACUUUCCCUUUGAAUCCCUUCUAUCCUUCCCUCCUUACCUCUGUCUACAGAGCCCAUCUAAAUGCCUCAGCCUAAGACAUCUCAGUGGAAUGCCUCUAAUGAGCUCUUUCCGGCAGCAAGUCUCGGGUAUUCUAUCCUCCCAUACAUCCUUCCGACAAGGCAUGAAAUAGCAUAAGAUAAGGCUUCGCUACCUGACUUCUCAGCCAUUCUAUAAGCUAUAAGAAAAGUCAAGAGUAAUCAAAUCGAUAGUUAUUACGGAUCUCAUAUUCCUUAUUAACCUUGGCUACACCAUCAGUCAUUUCCUUUUUGACUACCCCAUAACCUUCUCUUGCUUGGUGUUCCAACCAAGCCGGCAUCCGAGCGGCCCACGGAGAAAAUGAGAAAAGGAAAGAGGAAAUUUCCCUUGAGCCACAGAAGAGAAGACAAAGGAUUAGCCUUUGACUAUGCUCAGGCUUCACACCAAGUCAAUCCUAUAUAUAUUCUUUGCACCUCUCCUUUCAUUCAAUAUUCUUUGAACCUUCUUCAUUGAGCGGAGGACUUAUCCUCUUAUUAGUUUCUUUCUAGUCUUUACAAUCAUCAAGACCUCCGGACCGAUCGGUCUAUAAUAUCCAAGCAAGAACAACGGACACUUCAACCGCAGUAGACCAUUUCCCAUAUGGUGGUCUUUCUUCACCCUUUGGAGGAUUGGAGGUCUUACUCCGCGCGCCCUUUUCUGUACGGGUACGUGCCCUUUAUCGUCUUUCUUUUCCGCCUAAGAUUCCUUGUUUAAUACGAGAAAUCUCAAAGUACAUUUUCAGCAAAAAAGACCCGAAGUAGGAAAUGCAGCAAGUUUUGUUGUCAAAUCAAUGGAUUUUCCUUCUUAUAGAAAUCUCGUUUUGUACAUAAAUUGCGUAAAGAGCUAUUUGAGCACUUAAACAUAGAAAGGGGAGAAUGGGUCGUCAGUUAGCAUUUGCUAAAGAAAUGCGCAAUCAACUCGUAUAGCCUACCCAACUUAAUAAAGAGACUCCGCUACUUCAGUGGAAGAGGUGGAAUUCGAUCCAGGCUGAUAGCUCCCCAGAUCCUGCAACAGACCUCGCAAUAUUCUUUGCACCCCAAAAAAAGUGUGAAAUCCGCUAAAGUGCUACUGCCUUCUGAGUUCUUGCUUCCCUUCCCACUCCUGUAAACUCUGUAAAGCCUAUUAUUUCCUUCUCCAACUCGGUAUUCGGUAUAUUGAAUAAGCGCUCGCCAGCACAGCACAUCCUCAAAGAGAAUUCCAAAAAGAAAGGUCCAGGGUCCGGAGUCCUACGUCCGCAGGAUUUAUCCUACGUCCGGAGGAUUUAUCCGUAGGACCAUCCAUAUGGAGGGAAGUAGGACUAUCCAUAUGGAAGUAGUCCGGAGUCCGCAGGAUUCUUAUCCGUAGGACUAUCCAUAUGGAAGUAGGACCAUCCGUAAUUAACCGAAGUAGUCCUCCGGACUUUCCGUAAUUAACCGAACUUUGCGCCUAGCCGAAGGACCUGUUCAAAGUCAAUCAAAGAAAAUCCGUUCAUUAACGAUAAUGAAAGAAGAAAAAAAGCAAAUUCAUCUGCUAGAUUUCAGACAUCUUUGCUUAAUGAAGACGGAGUGAAUUCCAUGAUUUUGCAAGGUUUUGCCCAUAGGAAGUAGCAAGAAAAGACAAAAAAUCAGUCAAAAUUGAUCUAUUUUCGUUAAAUAUCAAUAUGAGAAAAAGUAUGAAAAAGAAGCAAAAAAGCCGGGAAAUAGCAACUGGUCCAUUAUCAAAAUCUAGGUCAAAGAAAUUCUCAGUUCUAGUUUGAGUUUCUGGUCCGGAUACUGACGGGUCUAUUCUGGAUUCCGCUCCUCCGUUCUAAUGGCGCAAAGAAUAUUGCGGUCAUGAUUCCCAAGGCUAAUAUGGAUAGUCCUUGCACUCCGUCCUCUUGACUCGUUUUCUCUUCUUAGAUAAAUGCGCUUCUCAAUAUUCUUUGAGCUCUUUAUUCAAUGAUCUUUGAGCCUUAGUUAGGAUCAAUGAAAUUUGAUUGUUGAGAGAACGAAUUCUUCAGCUGCUUCAGUGAAUGCACCAAGGAGCUCCUAUUCUUCUGACUCUUCCAUCCUGCCGCUGAGCUCCUAGCCGGUCGUUCUAAUUCCUCCUCCGCGACUGGAUUACCGCUACGUGGGGUAUGCCGAACUUUCUUCUUCCCUCGUUCAGUUGAGCUGCUUCGUAUCCGUCUGUGUGAGCGGCUCGCACCUCGCCCUCUCGUGGCCUCGUAUUUUUCUCUUUUGAGGUUACGAACGGAUAAAGAAAAUGUGUCUGAGCGGAACGAUUUACUGAAUAUUCUAUGAUAUACGAAACUGUAUAAUGACCCAAUAGCAAGAUCCGUCAAACUCGUAGUAAAGCUGCUGAGCCCCUUCCCCUAGGCUUUCUUCUUAUGGUCGGCUUCCGAGGGGAGGGGUACGGUUCUCCUGAGUUUACUUAUUCAGGUAUACCAUUAAGAAUCAGACUGAUCAAGGCAGAGGAAGGGCCUCAAGCAAUAACUGAAAUCGGAACAUCACUCAAUAGUAGCAGCUUGGGCCCAUAGAGGAGGGUUGAUCUGGUAUGCUUUUCCUGCAUUUCUCUUUUUUUAGUGGUCUAAUCAAUAUAUAAAGAAUAGUCGCAAUAUUCGAGCAAUAUUCUUUGCGCCUACGCGGACGGGUCAAAGAGACUUGAGUUUUUUGAUGCUUUUUCGCAGCACUAACCAGGCGCUUAUUAGCCUAUUUCGGCCCCCUCUCAGUAGAACCUACUAAAAAGAUGAAAGCCUAUCUCCAACCCUUUCUUCUUCAACAUGGGAAAGAUCUCAUUCAAGAGGAAGUAAAGCAGCUUCCACUCGGGAUGCAGACUGAAAGCCGAGGCGCCCGUGGUCCUCAGUCUAGUUGAUAAUAGGAAGUCUUCCCCUAUCUCAAAAUCGAGCCCUCACUCUCGCACAAGACCCCUUUAUUUAUGGAUGUUCAUUGAGCCUCAUUCCGAUUUGACUGACUCUUAGGCACAGCUUCAAUGGCACAGCCACUCAUAGAUAGAGUUCAAUCGCUUCUCAAUAUUCUUUGAUCCUCGCAAUAUGCGCCUCCGGUCGGUCGCUCCGGCUAGUCUCUUCAAUAGGAGGUCCCACCUGGAUCCGCGAAUGAUUUACCUCCUUUUCAUCUCUUUAUGGGAGGGAAUGGAUGGACGGUUGAAGGAAGACCAUACCUUGGUAGAGUACGAGUACAUAACUCCAGAAAAAGAAGACGCCCACUCCGCGGUCCCAUAAGACAGGGAUAUUGAUGAGAGCGAUCUACUAAGAAGAAAAUCUACUGAAAGAAUGCUUUCAACCACUGCCACUGGUGCAAGCAAAAGAGAAAGGGAUGGUGGGGUUCGCUUCGGCUUCCUUCCAUUAGCCUCCCUCUGUACUUUCAUCCUAUAUAUUAGCCGACUGAUUUAUGGAACAUAGACCACUAGGCUUGAUCUUCUUCAAAGCCCUCCUUUUGAUAUUGAUAGGCUUGGAGUUGAUUCUUGUGUCUGACUGAACUUUCUGAAGGCAAAAACCAUAGAUUUGAGGCUUCUAUUCCCCAGUGGAGUCGCCAGCAGUAGGGCCCGCAUUUUCUUUGGCACCGCUUCCCACAUCAUCACUACUUUGGCCACAAAGCCCUAUCAAAAGAAAGAGGAGAAAAAGGGGUUUAGAGGCUUUUUUCUUCCUUUGAUUUUAGGCCGACGGACUCAAGAAUUUGACAUAGAGUCUACGAACCAUUGGUCCGGGUAAGGCCUUCCUUUCUAUAUUCCAGUAUAGUAGCGGGCCCUUAGCGCAGGCAAGAAAUCCAAAAAAAAUCAGUCUUCCAACACGAUUUUUCUUUAAGUAAUGGCCCCAAAGGCGGCUCAUUGAGCCGGUCAUCGGUUGCUAAGAGCCUUUCCUCACUUGAAAAAGCCACUUUUCUUACUGGGACGAAUAUUCGUUCACUGAAAUCGUCGGAUCGACCGGGCCAUAUUUCCUUUUCAUCGGUUGAUUACGCAGAAAAAAGGGAAGAAGGAGCGAGUUAAGGAGAGGAGGCGAGAUCUAAUAUGAGUUGAGAAGCGCAUUUCCUUAGUGGUCCUAAGCCCUUCCUUCCAUAUGGAUAGUCCGGAAGAUUCAUCUGUAGGACUGCGGACUCCGGACUCCGGACCACUACAAGGCGCAAAGAAUAUUGCUCAAAGCAAAGAAUAUUGCGUUAGAAAGGGGAUUAUCUGAAUCCAGAGGUCAGGAGAGAGAGGUAUGAUAAUAUGCUUUCCCAUAGGCCGAGCGGUUAGAAGGAUGCUGUGAAUCUCGAAGUAUUCUCCAAAGGAAAGUCUCAGUUGCCGAAGCUCUGUAGUAAAAGGAAAAUAACUCAUUGAUGUCUUCUCUUCUUAUGAAGGAGUAAUCAGUCUCCAUCAAAAGAGUAUGCAUAUUUGGGGGGCUGAUGUACUUGCCCGCUCGGCCUUCUUUCUUACCGAGAAGGGUGAAGAGCCAGUUGCGGAUGGAGAUUACCUAGCCUCAAGCAAUAAUGAAGAUAGGAAUAGGAUCGAAGGAGGAAUGAGUUACUUCACUCUUAGACGAGAGAGAGCUUUCCCAAGCACCGGAUCCGGGGAUGAAAGCUAUCCGUUUCGGAAGCAAGGGGGCUUCAAUUCGGUCGGGCUAGGUGCCCGCUGUAAGGAGAGGUUUCGAUAGGGUGCGCAGGUGAGAAUCCGAGUUUAGACCUCAGUGGAAAACUUCCCCAGUGGGAUAGGUCUUAAUAAGGAAAGAGAUUUUCUCUUCUUUACGGGAAAGGUUAUCUUUUCUCUUUAGGGUAGCUAGGCAGACUAGAGCUCGGAAUAUGCUCUCCAAAGUAGCUCAGUAGUCUUAGGAGUAGGAUAUGGAGUGGCUCUCGGGGCAGCGAGAGUGGAGUGGGACCAAGGACGAACUCCUUUAGUUGUAGAGUGGUAGAAGACGAAAGAUUCCAGGAAAUUCCUCUUCUUUUCUUUCAUUCCACUGCCAUUUUCGGAUUGAGUCUAUAAGUAAGACUGAUUUAGAUAUGGAUUUGAGAUUCUUCCAUUUCCCCGGUCUUUUUCUUCAUUUUUGGAUUCUCCUGCUUUUAUGAAAAAAAAUCUGAAUAUAAAUCAGUCCCACUAUUUAAGUCUUAUUCCACUAAAAGGCUGAAUUCAAUUUUCGUGACUCGACUCACAUAAAAUAAAGAGGGAUGGACACGCCUGAUACCAAAGUCGGGUGAGUAUGGUCUCUCUUUCGUGAAUCAGAAUUCAGGCUAGUAUGAAUCUCCUAGGAGAGAGGAUGUCUCAUCCGCUACAGUUACCGAUGAAGUGACCGCUGCCCACUGGUCUCGCUGGCCGGCCCAAACCCUAGGUUUUCUUCCUUUUAUCUUAUGCUUUACGAAGAGUUUCUUCUAACCACUGGUGGGAAACUGCCCUCUCUCGCAUUUCAUGGGUUCCUCCUCUCCCGCUACGUGGGGAGGUCAAAGAGGAAUUAAUCAGUCCUCCGCCUAAUUCAUAUGGGGAUCUGCUCAUUCAUAUGGAUCAAAAUCAGUCCCACUAUUUCAAAAGAAAUAUUCAUUGCGCCUCGUCUGAAGACCUUCCACUCGGCCGCUCUCUCUCUCUGUGAGGCUUGACUCAAGCGAAGAGAAGGCAGUCAACCCCGCAAUCAACUCAGUCUUCCCCAGCAGCCCGAGAUCUUCUUCCACUCCCUUGCUCCCUUUCGUACUUAUCUUUAUCUGUCUUCUUCUUCCCAUUUCAGAUGAUAAUGGCAGAGACUGAUUAUGAUACGGAAGAGCUACUCUCUGACGGGAAAGCUGCCAAGGCCUGUCGAUACUUCUGACUCUGGAUCCCUGACCUUUCUAACCUAACCCCCCUUCCGAUCCCUACUAACCCACGGGGCGGAAUCUGAGAAGAACAUCGAUCAGUCGCUUGCAGGAUUUCUGCCUUCUCUUCGCGAUCGGGAAAUCUUUUCUUCUCCUUUUCUAUCUCAUUAUCUCAUUCUUUACGAAAUGCCAUAAAUUCGAUUCUGAGGCCCGUCUAUAAAGUGAUUUUACGCACGUGCCCCAGGAAAAUGCUCAUUCAAAGCAAGGAUGGAUCUUCUUUCUGUAGUCCUUGCUGGAGCCCACUACGCGCUUGCCUAACCCUAGUUCUAGCUCCGAUCCUUAUCUUUCUUAGCAGAAAGCUCUUUCUCGCUCCUUGGAGAAUGCUCUUUCUGAUCCCGAGCCAAGGAUUCAUUCUCCUCCUUGUCAAUAUUCUUUGAACAAGGCUUCCGCUUAAAUCUUUGACUAUACUAGCGCUUUCGACUUGAUAGUGGAACCUUUUCUUUUAGGAGAUGAUGCACAAAUAGAGUUCUUGGUCUCGGGUAGAUAUGGUAGAACAGUGUCUCGUAGCAUUUAAGAAAAGAGAGAGCGCACUUCUCAAAUUCUUUGAGCCGUCCUCCGUCCUUAGUCGUUCUUUAUAUCCAUAUUAGCUUUUCGGCCAAGAUGACAUUCUUUCUUUUUCCAUGAAUGAGUCCGGAGGACUGGUCUCACCUCCCAAAAAUACCCAACCAAGGCAUCCCCUCUUCCUUCCUGUACGGAGUUCUCAUUCUUCUUCCCCAGCCGAUCGAUCCGGACCUGUCCUUUCCCUCUCGUCUUCCUCCACUCCUCCUUACUCCUUUUCAUGAGCUCCUGGGUUUCCAGCACUCUUCGAUUUCUCUUUUCUAAAAGAAAGAGAGUUUCUAGAUAAGCCUCGCCUUAGGAAUAAGGAUCUCAUUCCCGAUCUUUCUACUACUGGAAGAACUAAAGCAGCAAAAGCAAAUCAACUUCAACGGAUGCCUCAUCAGAACCUACUAAAGAAAGCCUACCGCAACAAAGAAAAGAGGUCAAGGAAAGCCUACCUUGAAAUGUGGUCUUCUCAUUCCACUCAAUCUUUCUGUCGAGCAAUCGUCUUCGCCCGAUCCGAAAGAUCUCAUUCCGCUCGAGCUAAGCGGUCCUUUUCUCGUAUCCGUCUCUUGAGCUGCUUCCUAUCCUUCCUUCUAUGGCUUCGCGGAGAUCCAAGGAGUUGUCUUUCUUGCUAUGGCCCCCGGCCGGACCCCUUCCACUCCUUUCCCCCCGGUCAUUCCAACCUUCACCAAGGCAUCCUUAAUCUCCAAUCCCGCAUCCUAAACCUACUGCGCUUGACUCAGUAUAUUGACUAACUACCCCCGAUACAGGAUAAUAGACUUCUUCCUCAAGAGGAAAUGAUAAGAGGCGAAUGGUCGAGCUUAUUCUAAGGUUCAAGAGAUCAUGCCCUAUCUUCAACCGUGGGCUUACUAAAUACUUGGCUUUUCUACCGCUACGUGGGUAUCCCGAGUUUGCAUGAGAAAGGGUUUAUUCCUCAACGCCUCUCCAAAUUCCCAUAGAAAGAGAGGUCUAUUCUUCUCAAUAUUCUUUGACCCUCCAGGUGAUUCAAUCAGAAUUCUUCUUUCAUUCGAGUGAAUGAGUUCAUUCUGCUUUCAUUCUCGUUAAUGAGCUUCUUUGAUUGACUUUUCACAGGCGCAAAGCAUAUUGCGUGUUUGCGUGUUUGCGUGACAAAGAAUAUUGCAAGAAUGCAGAAAGAAGAAGAAGAUCAGUGCUUACCCACUGGAAGACCAUUAUAAAGGACUUAUAUCUUUUCGUUAUCAACCACUAUUUAGAGCACUUGAUGACUGAAAUCUCUUAUACACUGUACUAAUCGCAGAGCUUGAUAAAUGACUAUUGAAUAUUGAGAAAGAUAUAUUGAAAAAGUCGUACAGAGUAUGAAAUUCUGAGAAGAAGAGGACUGGGCUUAACUUUCUCUGAUUAUUUCAUUCGCGGAGCUUUAUAAAGAAAGAGAAGUCGCAUGCACUAUCAUUAUUCAUAAAGCACUGAUCAAGGAAGGGCCCAAUAAAAAGGGACUGAUUUUUCCUCUUGUUUUGGGGGCUCGACUAAGAGAUGCGGUUACAGACGUGACCGUCUUCCUGUGCCAGUUGUGGAAGUUGCAGAAUUCGUUCUUGCUGGAUAAGUUUCUCUUCAGUCCCAAGGCAAUUAAUAUCAUUUUCCUUCCGGGGAUUCUUUUCCUUUCUAUGUCGAAAAGACUAUAUAAAAGAAUCAAUCCCGCCUCAGCAUGAAACCUCUAUUUUCUCCUUUCGGCUUCAGAGGCCAGUCUGAGGAGUUUCCCGGGCGCCUUAUAAAUAAAGAAGCCGAUCUCCAUCCACGGGUUUCUAGCAUAAAGGAUGGGGAAUGAAAGGCCUGUGAUCCCCGAUCCAGGUUCUACCUCUUAUAUGAUGCGUGGGGAGUCCUGUACGCUUAUUCAUCCCUUCCAUUAUACUUGUUCAUGAAAGAAAGAAAAUAUGGGAAUCUUUCCACUAGAUCUCGAAGAAAAAGAAGCCCCGCACCAAGGGCAAGAGGGAAAAGCCAGGGUCUAUCCUUUACUGGGGGUCACUCCGAUUCCUGUAUUGGUAUUGAGUCCUUGGGUUCAGUCUCCUUUCCUGCUAAUAAGAAAUUCAUCGAAAUCCUUUAUAACUUCUUCUUCUCAUCGACUACGUCUCCUUCGGAACCUGCGAAUCCGCGAUUCAUUCAUUAUUCUUUCUAAAUAAGAAGAUAUGAAGAACUGCUCAACCCCUCAGCCCCUUUGGUCCGGCUCUUCUCCGAUUGGAAAGAUCUGGUACGGAGUCUUCCCCGGCCCUGGACACUUGGAGUACUGAGUGGGAUUAUGAAUUUCAUAGUUCAUGGGGACUCAUUAAUUCGAUUUCUUUUAUUCAAGACGAGACUUAUCCAUUCGCUACCACCAGUACCAUAUUCCCUUCCAGGUGGUGGGGUUCCUUCAUUAAAGACCGGUAACUCCGAUCCCGUAGGCCUGAUCAAAGGUCAAUCUUGGGUUAAGACCGAUCCGAGAAGCGAGAAGAGAAAGAAAAAAAAGAGAAUGGUUUUAGUAAAGGAAGGGAACUCCUCUUGCCCCUUUGCGAACCAUCUCGAUCGGGUUCAGACAGAUAAAGAUCCCCACGUAGCGGGAAGAGGCCUCAAGGUGGAAUUCUACUCUGACAGGCGCGUAUUAUCUGGACCGCCCGUCUCAAAUUUCCCCUCGGUCAAUGAUAAGUACGAUUAGCAGAACGAAGGCAGAAAGGAUCGGAGCGGUCGGUGCCUAGGUUAUUCAAUCUACAGAAUGCAGAGUCAAGCGAGAAAGAAAGAGAACUAAACUAAGACGGGACUCGAGACGAGGCGAGAUCUAAGCGCGUAGUGGUCAAAUCUGAUUAUCAAUAUCAAGAGCGGAGACGGAGGUUACGAGAAAAAAGAGUAUUCAAGAUCAGAGACAGAGGUUCAAAGAAUAUUGACAAUGAACAAGGAUCAGAUAGAGAAAAUAAUUGCGGUCUUACUCAAUUCAAUCUCAUUUUUUUUUCUUGUGUGCGAUUAUUCAUUAUUUUGAUUCGAAUGACGGAGUACCUCUUUCAAGGUUAUCCCUAGGUCUGGACCUAGAUCAACUUAAGUGAAAUGGAAGGCAAUAUUCUUUCCUCCUCCUUCUGAACCAUUUGCUUUGUCAAACCCAUUAGAUUCGGGCUGCUCUUGGGAAGUAGAUUUAGGUAUGGGAAUUGAUCUAAGUUAGGGUCUUUCUGACUAAAGCUCAUCAACCCUAAUCUAAUUAAGACUUCGUCCUUUCGCUACGCUACGAGACCUCCGACUUAUUAGAGAAAGGUGAUACCAUCUCUGACUCCUUUCGGAUCCUUCUGCGCCUAUCGGUGAAUAUGUAUACUUGAGAAGGUUGAGAUGAUCUCUUGUAUACAAUGAAAUUAGGGAUGGAGAGUCAAAAAUGCCAGCUUGAAUGAGGAUACCCUGACUCCUCUUUGGUUUAUGACCCAGCUCUAUAGAAAUUGGUAACUUACUUCGUUCAGUCUGACUCUUGCUCUGAUUCUGCGGGUUCGGAAAGUCUCUUCCCUCUUCGCCUAUCGUCCCUUGACUUGAUUUGCCGCUGGGAUGUUUCAAAAAUCAAAGAAAGAAAGGUGCAAAGAUCUAUGGCCCCACUACGCGGGAUAUUGUGGGCUAUUCUAAACCAUCCCUUCUCGCUUUAUAUUUGACUUUCUCUCUCAAAUUCUUUGAGCCUCGCCUAGAUAAAAGAUCAUAAACUAAGAAAGGGAUGACCCUACUUCUCUUACGUACGUAACAAAGAACCUUUGACUCGACAGAAGAAGCGAAACUCUACUCGCAUAUUGCUCUCUAUUUAUAAAUAAACUUAGCUCAAGAAAAUUCCCAAGAAUAUCCCGUCCGAAGUCCUUCAUUCGAUCUUUCUUUCUCUGGGUCCUCCGUUUUAGAGUCCUACUUCGGUUAAUUACGGAUGGUCCUACUUCGGUUAAUUACGGAUGGUCCUACGGAUAAAUCCUCCGGACUACUUCCCUCCAUAUGGAUGGUCCUACUUCUAAUGGAUAGUCCUACGGAUAAGAAUCCUCCGGACUCCGGACGUAGGAUAAAUCCUGCGGACUGCGGACUCCGGACUACGGAUAAAUCCUCCGGACCUGUCUUAUGGAACCUUCGGUCUUAAUACUCCUAACUACGGGGUGAGGUGCAAAGAAUAUUGACAGUCUUUCUCUCUCGCAGCUGAGACUCGGCCCUUGCUUCCUGCCAAUGCAUUCUCAUACCAACUCCUAGAAGAUAUAGCAUAUUCUCUACCCACUACGCGGUAUUCUACCUGCGGAUAGCUGAUCUUCCCGCUCCGUGGGCUAAGUAGAAGAGGAAGAAGAGAAGACCAGAGACUUGGCCGCCGACAGAAAAGGGGUCCUUUCCUUCCGAUCCUGGGCCUGGUCCCUUUCGUCGAAAGUAAUAAGUCGAUAACCCUGAAAUGAAACUGAAACCUACACAGCAAGAACGACCUCAAUGAACAAGGGGCCCCAAGAGGACGUUGAAAGAAUGAAUCGCCGAAAUGAAAUAAUGCAUUAAUCUCCUCGCGAAUUAGACGCCCGACCAAAGGUUCUUUCAUCAUCAGCAUAUGUGGAUUCAGUCGGGACGUUUUUGAGGUUCUUUUGCACGAUCUCAAAACCCACUACGCGGCGCUUUCUUUACAUCUUUCGACCUUAAAGCCACUUAUCUCAUAACCUCACGAAUGAAAGAGCAUGCAGACUGGUUAGCAGCUUCAUACCGCCCCCUGGGAUGGGAAUACGAGACAGCGGACCACUCUCCUACUCUUUCUAUUCGCAUAACCGAUCUCCUUUCCAGUCGUAUUCAAACCUCUGCCUAUAUUGGGGAGGAUUCUAGACGCGGGAAGAAACCUAUCCAAAGCCUGAGAAUCUCGCAAUAUCAAUAUUCUGCUUUCGAGCAAUAUUCUUUGCGCCUUCUACGCGGUCGUCCUAAUCCCUUGUUCAUUGAGGUGAGGACCUUUGUUUUUGGAGGAGUUAUCUACCCUUUCUUUGCUUUGUUUAUGGAUCAAAAUCAGUCCUUAAAAUGAACCAAAAUCUUCUUCUCAACAAUAUCCCUGUCUUAUGGUAUGGAGCCUUCAAAAAAGUGGAAUAAGACUCCUAACGUCAGAAACAUUUACCUAUUUAUCUUUAUCAUGACUUUUUCUCAAUAUUCUUUUCUUUCUAUUAGCUCCAUUAAUCAGUCGCAAUAUUCUUUGCACCUUUCUUUCUCAGGAGCGGAAGCGUAGCGUAGCGGACAGCCUUAAAGCACUUGCUUUCAGCGUAGCAGAGCGGUGGGUUCGCUGGCUUCUCCCUUUCUUUUCCAGCGGAGCGGACAGGACACCUACCUUUCUUUUCUCUUUUCCAGAAAAUCGCUGCCUGAGCCCUUAAGAUUUUCAGCUACGCGUAGCGGUGCCUUCGCCCCUCUCCUUUCAGUCGAGCUUCUUCGCCCUGAUGUGAUGACUCUUUCCGUUGGUUCUUGCUGUUGGGCUCCGCCCCGUACACUGACUUCGUGUACUUACUCUGUACUUCUUAUACUUGACUUCUUGUACUUCUUGUUGUCGGGCUCCGCCCCUUAUACACUGACUUACCUCUUGUACUUACCUCUGAUUGUACUUCUUGUUUUGGGCUCCGCCCCGUAUACUUACCUCUUCUUGUUGUUGUUGGGCUCCGCCCCUCACACUUGUUCUUUCUUUCCUGCCUCUUCCACGCAAUAUUCUUUGCACCUCACACGCAACUCAUAUUGCAUUGAGCCUCUUGUUGCUGUUCUCAAAUUCUUUGCCCCUUAUACUUGCUCUUCUUCAACUUCUUGUUGUCGGGCUCCGCCCUCGCAAUAUUCUUUGCGCCUAGCCGUCACGGAUUGGUUUACGCCUAGACGGGAUAGAACGAAGAACGGAUCCGCUUUAGCCUAGAGGGAUAUUCGGAUAAGCGGAUCAGCCGAUCUUGCUGUUUUGACCUUCUUUGUUGCCUAGAAGGAAGAGACAAUUACAGAGGUGCAAAGAAUAUUGCGGUAAGAUAAGAAAGAGGGAGAUUAUGAAGAAAAGAAGCGGAUAAGCGGAUCAGCCGAUCUUGCUGUUUUGACCGCGUAGUGGGUUACGGAGAAGAAGGAAGGGUGAAGGGUGAAAGAGAGAGAAGAACUUCCGAAAGAGGUCUCGCAACCGCGUAGUGGGCAUUGACUGCAUAGCUGCUGAAUACCUAUCAUACUUGUCCGGCUUUUCAUUGUCGGCCAUAUCGAUCUGGCUGCCUUCUUGGGGCUUCGCCCUUCAAUAUUUUCAGCGGAGCGGAGUAGCAGAGCGGUGGGUUCGGGGGGCUUCGCCCGCGGAGGGGGUUUGAUCCAGGAGCGUAGCGUAGCCUUUAAAGAAGCACUUGAUCCCUUAUCAAAAAAUAGGAAGGAUCCAUAAGACAGGGAUAUUGUAAGAGAAAGGGAUAUUGUAAGAGAAAGGGAUAUUGUAAGAGAAAGGGAUAUUGUAAGAAUUUGUGGAUUCUUCUUAAUCAGUUCAUUAACGAGAAUGAAAGAAUAAUUCGGAUUGAAUAACCUGGAGGGAAAUCCAGAAUAGACCCGUAUUUCUCCGGACCAGAAACCAUAAGAAAACUCUGUUCAUUGAUUUUACCUGUCCUAGGAGUUCUUCUUUCAUUGCGUUUUCCCGGCUUUUUUGCUUCUAAAUAGGACUAAAUCAAAGAUUUCUAUUUAACGAAAAUAGAUCAAAAAUGACAGAUUUUUCAUGAUUUCUUGCUACUAUUUCUUUUCAGCUCUCCUUAUCAGUCGAGCCCAAAACCUAGCAUUUCCCUCCGCGGAUUCAUCUGAAAUCUAGCUCUGAAAUCUAGCAGAUUCAUAAUUCUUCUUUCAUUCUAGUUAUGAAAUCAUAAUGAUUCUUUCAUUCUCGUUAAUGAGCUUCUUUCUUUGCGCCUUUCUUUCUCCGUCCGAAGGACUAUCCAUAUUAAUCGCGGAAGCGGAGCGUAGCGGAAAGAGCCGCAAUAUUCUUUGCACCUUUGUUUGAUGUUUGAGAAAAGAAAAAUCGCAAGUCAAAUUCUCUAAUGGAUAGGCCUCUAAUUUAUCAUAGCGAAUAGUCCAAAAACAAAGGUCCAGAUGAAAAAUAGCAUUUUACCGACUCCUCCUACGCUAUAUACUCCUUCGGACGUCCUCUGGACUAUUCAUCCUAUUACUUCUUUGAUUUCAAGCUUCCGUCGGACUGAUUAAUGGAACUAAUAUUUACGGGAGGCUCAAAGAAUUUGAGAUCAUUCUUUCUCCCCUCCAAAAUAAUUGAGCCUCAGGCGCAAAGAAUAUUGCUCGAAGGAUCAAUGAAAUUUGAUGAUAAAGAUUAGACUGAACUUUGAACCUUGUUCAUUGUCAAUAUUCUUUGAACCUUACUAAGGAAAGAAUGAAAUAAUUACUCAAAUUGUAUCUUAGCUUUAGGCUAGUCCUAGCUUACUCAACGACGAAUACGACUCUUUCAGUGGAUAGCAGCAAGGGCCCGAUCCAACUCGCUUGUACCAGUCUGCCUCUACUUUCUUUUUCCGACACUGAAUUCUUCCUCUUAGCCUGAACCUAGGCUUUCCUUCCUCUCAUGAUAUAUUCCUGAGCAAUAUUCUUUGCGCCUCUCCCGCCUUCUAAUUGGAUCUGGACCUUUCUUUUUGGACUGAUUUUGAUCCAUAUGACUCCGGACUGAUUAAUGGAACUGAGUAUAUUCACCUUUUAUUUGCCGCCUUGAUUUUCUUCAUGGAUUCUUCAAAGAGUGGAAUCAUUGAUUUGUUAUUAGAUAUCUCUCUCUCCUAAUCCUCUCGAAACUGCACUCAUUCUGAUUCAACUUCGGUCGUUCUAAUGGAUUUCUCAAUCUGAAGCCUUUCUUCUUUUCUUAGAUAAAUGCGCUUCGCUUCGCGCAUCUGGACCCCUCCGGAGGAGCAAGGAAUAGUGCAGCGCAAAGUGCGGAUAACUUCAAAAAUCUUUGAGCCUUUAUUUAGGCCUUCGAAUAAGGAGGAGCUUACCUCUCAACGGAUGAGGUGCAGCCAACUACUUAUGAAAGAAAAGGACUGAUUUUCACAUACUUAUGUAUGAAAGGAGAACCGCUACGUUUUCCUUUUCAGGCGACUGCAACUGCCAAAACGGACCUCUUCGCGGCUUCCCUUGACGGAACGAAGAGCGGCCUUAUCCCCUGCCCUGAUCGCGAGACGUGUAUCCUGCACCGCGGAGUGGGAUGCCUAACCCAUUUAUGUCUUCGACCCGAAGCUUCUUUGUUUUGAAGCCAUGAUGGAAAAGAAAAACCUUUGAAUGUGGGUAGAAGGGAACCUCAAAUCCCUUGUUUCCCACUUUCAGUUACUUACUCAACUAACUCUUAAGGAAGAAAGGUCAGACGAUAAAGCAGACCCUAACAAGACUAUUAUUUAAGACUAUUGAGCCCACGGAGCGGGAAGAACUGAUGAACAUAAGGCCUAAUUUUGGGGGCGUCCUUAGUGGUCUAAGCCCACGUAGGGGGAAGAAAGAAAAGAGCUCCUAAUCUCUGGGUCCUCCGUUUUAGAGUCCUUCGGUUAAUUACGGAUGGUCCUACGGAUAAAUCCUCCGGACUACUUCCUUCCAUAUGGAUGGUCCUACGGAUAAAUCACCUGGACCUUUCUUUGGCCCUGCGGACGUAGGACGUAGGAUAAGAAUCCUGCGGACUCCGGACCACUAUUUAAUAUUGAAAGUAAUAGCUAUCGAUCAUUCUUUGAGCUAUAAAGCCAUUAAUCAGUCCUUCGCUCAAUGAAGAAGGUGAAAAGAAUAUUUCAUGAAGCUUACCUUCCCUUCUUCCUUUUGCAGUAAGCGCCUCAAUGAAGAAGGGCUAUUUCAUCCGGUGCUAUGGCCCUUCCCGCCCUUGAUGCUUUAUUCUCUUCAGCAAGUUAGGAUGCAAGAAAGAAGGAUGUGACUGAGAUUCUGAUUAGAUGACUUUGAAGGAAAAGUGGUACUUUCUCUUUGCUUCAAUCAUAAGAUGGUAACCCGCCCUAAGCAAGAUCGGUUCAGCAGGCCAAUUCACGCAUCUUCCGCAGCCCUAUAUGGAAAUGCUCGCCUUCGUCUUUUUUUCAUCCGGACUGAACGGUAAACUUGGGGUUCAGAUACAUCGUACCCCUAUGAUGAAAUCCGCCUAUUCCAUGGAUAAAGAAGUCCCACGUAGGAAAAAUGGUCGUUUUUGGAAGGCAAUAUUCUUCGCUCCUGCUAACCGUCCUCCGGACUAUCCGUAUGAACCUAGCCUUCGGACCAGUCCUCCGGCGCAAUUCAAUAUGCGACUUUGAACCUUUUUUUUCCUCUUUCUCUGAUGAGACUGAGUUCUCUUGUCGAUGUAGAGACUGAUGGGAAUAGGUCCAUACGAUGGAAUAGGGUCUCUUGUCAACCAGUGAGCUGUGAAGCGGCCUUCCUUCGCGACAAGUCAAUGAUUAGGACACCUUUCAGCGUCCAAUGAGUUCAGGGAAGGGGUUCAAGCCCUAAUCCAAAGUCUAUCUUCGCUAUAUCUUAACCUUAGCACUUCUCUGUACUAAGCUCUUUCACCCUGCUUUAGUAAAUGGCGCGUCUUUGAGUUCGUACUAUUACUCAGCAUGCAAGGUAUUGGUCUUUCGGGAAGAAAAUCAGGCUUGAAAGUCUUCUUUGGUGGGAGCCGUAGUUCGUAUCGUCUAUUGGCUCCCAAUUAUCAUUGCCUAUCCGCUCGAAGCCUUUAAGUAAAGGACUGGGGAAUUCCAUCAAUACUGAUCGUAGACAAUUGAGAUUAAGUGGGAAGAGUAGACUUGAAAGCGAGCGGGAAGAUGGCUGGGAGUAGCCUUUAAGAGUGCUGGUCUACCCCGAUUUUCCCAUUGAGAGGGAGGGAGCCACCCCUAUUCAAUUAGUAGAGCUCUAUUGAACCUUGGAAUUGGCCAAUCACCAAGGGCGAUCUUAGGUUAGCAUUCUCUUAGAAUAGAACGAACUCGAAAAAUCAGCGGUACGGCACAGCCGGGGAGAGCGAAGAAAGGUAGAGCACAACUAUCAUUUUCAGAAAGAAUCCCGCAUCCGAAAGAAGUAAUGCAAUUGCUUGACCCAAGAAGGUAAGGGAGAGGAAAGACCCCUACCGCUAACUUCUCUGGCCUAAUCUCCCAGAAGAAGAAGAAGAAGAUUUAGUGGUUUGAAAGUCAUAAGAGGCUCAAAGAAUGAUCGAAGGCGCAAAGAAUUUGCGAGCGACAGAUGACUGAGCAUCUGAAAAAAAGAGAAAUAGUUAUGACUUUAGAAACUUGUAAGAAAGAGAAGAUCGGCCUGGACAGAAGAGGAAAGAAGACUCCUUAUCGAGGAGAAAAGUCUAAAAAAGAUAUCAUACUCCAGCUCAUAAGCUCAUUCUUUUCUGCAAAUGAGGCGUCCGAAGGACCAAACCUUUUUGACCGCUACGCUCCUCUCCGCGGUGAUGAACCGAAAAUCUGAUAAUAGAUAGUCCGGAGGACGGCUCAAGACGAGCCGUCCGCUCCUUUUGAGUCUGAUUCCACUAAAAAAAAUGACGACGGAGCACUCGUCCUACGUAGCUUAAUAUGGGAGUCAGAAAUCCCGGGUUAAUAUGGAUAGUCAUCUGGACCUUGAUUUUUGGAGGCUCAAAGAAUCUCACGGAGGGGGAUAGUCCGGAGGACUGUUAAGGCUCAAUGUAAUAUGAGUGAAACCUAUUACUUUUCCAUAAUACUUUCAAUAAAAGUGGCAAUAAUGAAAGAUCAUGACUUCCUUCUUCUUCUUUCUGGGAGUCCGGAGGACCGGUCUUCUCUCAAAUUUCAUUGAGCCUAACUAUUCCUUGCUCCUCCAGAGGGAUCAUGACUCUCGCAAUAUUCUCAAAAUUGGAAGUGGAAUCUCACGUUCCCUAAUGGAUAGUCCUUCGGACCUGUCUUAUGGAGCAAAAAGAAAGAAUGUCAUCGUAAUCUCAUAUUUCAUUGACCGUUAGGCGCAAAGAAUAUAUUUAGAGUUUACAAAUUAGGAGAAAGUGCUGAAGAAUGAACUCAUUAACGAUAAUGAAAGAAGCUAAAAACAAAAUUCAUCCGCUAGAUUGAAGACGGAGUGAAAUACAUGAUUUUGCUAGUGAUAAGGAGUCCGCAGUCCGCAGUCCUACGUCCGCAGUCCGCAGGAUUUAUCCGUAGUCCGGAGUCCGCAGUCCGCAGGGCCAAAGAAAGGUCCAGGUGAUUUAUCCGUAGGACCAUCCAUAUGGAAGGAAGGAGGACUAUCCAUAUUCAGGAGCGGAAUCAAGAAUAGACCCGUCAGUAUCCGGACCAUAAACUCAAACUAGAACUGAUCCAUGUGAAUUUCUGGGAUAGGCUUGAUUCUUUCAUUGCGUUUUCCCGGCUUUUUUGCUUCUUUUUCAUACUUUUUCUCAUAUGGAUAUUCUACGAUAAUUGAGUGAAAAAGAAGGAAUUUUCAUGAUUUCUUGCUACUUUAUAGGCCCAAAACCUAGCAAAAUCUUGUAUUUCCCUCCGUCUGAAAUCUAGCAGAUUAAUCUUCAAUCUCCCUCUUUCUUUUGAAUUCCCAUUUUUUUCUUCUUUCAUUAUCGUUAAUGAGUUAAUUAUUCUUUUCUUUUCUUGACUUUUCACAGGCUCAAUGCAAUUUGAGCUUUCACCGCUACGCUACGCUGGAGCUACUCCGAAAGAAAGGUGCAAAGAAUAUUGCCGGACUACUGGGGGAUAUUGUUGAGAAAGAAUUAUCUUUGCGAAGGUUCAGCUUCAUUCCUAGGGCAUGUCCUCCGGACUAUUCGCUAUGAUAAAACCACUAAUACUCCGAAACCUCGAUCAUUCUUUGUCUUUGAACGCUUCUUUGUCAUUGAGUUCAUCUUUUCACCUUAUUCUUAGGCGAAGGCGCAAAGAAUAUUGAUAUUGCGGGAACUGAUUUUCAUAGCAAAGAUUCCACUAAUAGAUUUGCCGACGAAUGAAUAAUGAAUAAAGCUUGCCGAUCGAUCUUUAAAGAAAAGCCUCUCUUCAAAGAGAUUACGAGACAGAUUACCUAGCAGCCAAUUCCCUGUCUUCUCUCUCUUUCCAUAUGGAAUUCCCUUGGAGAAUAGACGAAGAGAUGUGAGAGCUUCCACGGAGAAAAAAGAUAAGCCUACUCCAUCCUCUCAAAUUCUUUGACCCAUCUUUUGUAUAGUUAUAGUAUAGCUUCCGGCUAGUUCACACCGAUAAAGGAGAAUAAGAGAUAGGGUCAAGCCUAUUCUACUCCGGAUAUGGUCUCGUAGUAAUCCCCUUCCCCUUUUCAGAUCUGAGGCCUCAUCUAAUUCCCCUCGUAACCCCUUCCGAUUCCUUUGGUAUUCUACGAGGAGCUUUGCUCCCUCGAGCAGCCUUUCUCCUCUAGGUCGAGUCGUAAACAAAGUAUAUUGCCUCUCUGGCCCGGCUCGAGCAGCUUAGUAAUCCCCUUCUCCAACCCUUUGCUUCUGAAAGAAAGAGAAAGAGAGAAUGAAAUCUCUCGCUGGACGGGUUAGCUGUGUCUAACCUUCCCCUUAGAGAUAUGAUAAGACCUCUACAACUCGGUCAGCUCAAACCAAAAUAAUAGCCGCAAUAUUCUUUGCGCCUGGACCUUUCUUUUUGCCGCUUAAUGUCUAAUCUUUCUCAAUCUUCUUUCUCACGCAUAUUUCAUUGCGCCUCCAAAGUCAAAUUCUCUAAUGGAUAGGCCUUCGAGCAAUAUUCUUUGCGCCUUCCAGUCUUGUCAACGCAUAUUGAAUUGCGCCUUCUAUAUAUUCUUUGCGCCGGAGUUAGGAGCUAUUCCACUAACGAGCCUUUGGCUUUCUUCUUUUCAUUCACAUUACCGCGUAGUGGGAUUCUUUGAGCCUUGUUCAUUGACUUUCUUCUCUAGUAAAGCUUUUUUUUUGUUCAUGCUUCGCUAGGCUUGAUCUUUUUAGUGGGAAUAUAUAGGAUGAAAGUAGCGGCAUAAUAAUAGAAAGGUGGAAUCCUUGCUUUAUCUCUUUUUUCAUCCUCCUUCCCUUUAUCCUUUUAUUCCCUUUAUCUAAGAAAGCUGAAAUCUCGUGAAUGGAUGAGGACUGAAUUCAAAGUUCAAAUAGGAGGCUCAAUCCCACGGAGGGGGAGUCCGCAAUAAUCAGCCUACGUCAGGCUUUCGGUGAUUCAUUCAUGGUGGAUAAGGAUCGGUUUUCAUAUGCACAAUGGUUGAAUACAAGGAACCUCGUUCAUGAGCUAGGUCGCGGGAUACCAUUUUCUCAUGAAAGAGCGGACACAAGACAAGAGCCGAAACUCUAUAAGAAAAUCAAGCUCCAGAUGAGUUGACGCUCGAACCCCACGAUCUUCCCCCCGACUGAAUCCGGCUAACCGAGCCAAUGAAGAGUGAUUAUAGCGCGUGGAGCAUUUUUUUUUCCUUCGUAGCUUCCCAAGAACUAAUGGGGAAGGCUGCAUGAAUAUAAAUGAGAAGUGGAAUCAUCCAUCCUCAACAAGGUCUGCAACCGCUUUCUUUCUCCCGCCUGGGUCGCUGCCUCCCUUUCUUUUAAUGGCACCAAGUCCGAGAUUCCCCGAUUACGCCAAGGAUUCCGCGCCCGGAUGGAUCCUUGAAAGGAGAGGCAAAGCCAAACCCGUAAACCGGCUUCAAACUUCCUGAAACCCGGGAAAAUGAGCCUGAGCAGGUCAGCACACUUUUCUACGAGGGAAAGGUUUCGGCCAGAUCAGUGGCAUCCGCUGAAAGGGCAGUUGCUAGCCCUCGUCUUCUUCUCAAUCGAAAGAUCGGAAAGCUCGAGAAUGAGAGAGUAUUUCCUAUUUCCUAGCGGAAUGAAGAUUUUCUAUAUGACUGUAGUGAAUAACUAAGAAAAGAUUCCAUGAAGACCAGGGAACCGCGGAGUGGGUCACGGGGCAGAGGCAUAGAGGUUAGAAAGCGCAAGACCAUACCGAAAAGAGACUGCAGGUGAAUCCGUCGGAGGAAGCCAGAUUAAGCAGAUAGGUAGAAGGGAAGGGUCAGAGCGCCGGAAGUCGGAGGAGGAGCUCUCUCUCGCUCUCCUUUCUUUCUUCUUUCAGUAGCCCUCGCUUUUCUUGCCAGCAUGCGGAUUCUUCUUCCUGGCAGCUAUCUCUCUUGCCUCAUCUUUAGCUUAAUUCAAUUAACCUACUAUAUCAAGGAUGAAAAGGCUUAAGGAUUGGAUGUCCCAUCCCAUUCUCUUAAAGACAGUGACUUCCACCCAUGAGAAAAUAGUCCUAAUAGGGGGGACGUCCCUCUUUCAUUAUCAGCUAGGAAGCAUGGCUCUCCUAACUCAAUUCAAUCUUCUUUGAACCUCCCGUACGCCCACUCGACGUCCUCCACCAGGAGCACUAUUAUCAUAAGCAAGAGAGUCCGAGGUCCCUUUCGGCAGUUGCAGCUUGCUUCGGGCUCGCUUUCUUCUUUUUCUCAAAAUUAGUUGAUUGCUAAGGCCUUUCUUCAAAAUUUCCAUGUCCCAAGAAAAAUGUGAAGACGGACGGAGACGUGAUCCCAUUCAAUCCUCGGACAGGAGGAUGGAGUGUGAAACCUCUUUCCUAACCUCGUCCUUUCGCACAAAGGCUUGAAUCCACGUAAAUUGCGAGAAGAGGUGGCCUAUUUCCUUAUUGCCUUUUCUUGUAAUAAAUCGCCAACAAUAUCCCUUAUGGAGCCUACAAUUGAGUGAUUUUUCUAUCUAUUUUCCUUGGUCUAAUCUGAACCUCUUUUAGUAGUUUCGCUCGAGCGUGAACCUCAACCGGCGGACGACCCUCUUUCAUUAUCAGCUAGGGCGAGAGUCCUACUCGAAGUUACUAAGUUACGUGAUAGAACUCAUUUCUUUAAGAGUACAAAUCAGUCUUUAUUAAGAGAAGAUGGGACUUCGACCAGUUAGUUCUCAGCCUUUCCUUUCUAUUUUGGGUCCGAUCUCAAGAUAACUUCCGCCUCUGAUUAAAGGACGAAGUUGUCUUCCUUGUCUAAGUCAUCUCUCAACAAAUCAAUAUCCCCUAUCCAUAGAUCUUUGCGCCUUCUAUAUAUUCUUUGCGCCUCCUUCUCCAUCCCUAUUUCUUUAUUUAUGGAUGUUCAUUGAGGCGUCUUGACCCCUUAUUUAGCAGAUAAAUGCGCUUCGCUGAUGAUCUCAACUUCUAUCACUUUUUUAUGGAUUCCUUGCUUCUAACCAACUCAAGAACAAGAGGUGAAAAGUCGCAUAUUUCAUUGCGCCUCCGGACCGGUCCCUAGGCUUUCUUCUUCUUUUGGAGCCUCAGUCAGACAAAAGAUUACCCGCCCCAAAGUCGAGGCCAAAGGCCCACGUAGCGGUAAUUUGAAUAAGGAAGUUUCAGACCCACUCAAGCGAAACUAGGAAAGAAGCGAUAUGGCCCCUGGUCUUGAGGGCAGGGACUUUUCCUACGAUACCAGGCGAGACUAAGCAGAAAUAGGAAGUGGAAGUCAUUCUUUAUCCAAGCCAACCGCUUUCAAGCCCCUCUCCGCUGGAUCUGUCCUUUGAGACGACUAUGCCCUACUAGUUUACUUAGUCCCUUCCCUUGUGUGCCAUCCGGAACUGCUAUCCCUUAAGGUUUUUAGCUGCUAUCCCGCCUGGGAAUCUACUGCUACCUACUCCAAUAUAAGGCUUGGGUGAAUGAUUGGAUCCCGACAUAAGUACUCUAUCCACUCCUUCUUCUUCUUAGUCUUUGACUUCAGCUUCUUACCUGGAUUCUGCUUAUUCUGCUUCACGAAAAUGAAAGCCCAGUGAGGAAGUACUUGAAAAAUGCAAUUUUCCAGCUCUUAGAAAAGUCAGAAUUCUAAUGUGAACCACUUCCUAAUCUUUGUCUUGAGUUAGUGCUUUUGAGAUUGAUGAAAGGAAAGCUUUUCGGGAGCUAGCAGUCCUUCUUCUUUGCGAAAGAGAGUAGCUCAAGCAAGUCAAUUUCCCUUAAAGAAGAUAAUGAACUAAGAGCUUUUCUGCGCUACAAAGAAGAAAGGAUAGAGAUAGAUAGUUGAAUAAGCUAGACCGCUGCAGGUGCAAAGAAUAUUGCGAAUAAGAAGAUAUUAAGAAGAUCUUCCUUCUGUGACAUUUAGCCCGAAGAAAAUCAGCCUAUUCUAUACCAGCUUCUUCUAUAGAUGAGAUAACUGGAUCAGAUGAAAUAGCAAGGGAUAUGAGCAGCUCAAGCAGCAGAUUCUAUUCUGGGCAUGAAUGUGCAACCUAUCGAAAGAAAGAGUCCUCUACUUCCCACCGUGGCAGCUAAAGUCCUUCUCAAUAUUCUUUGAGCCUCGGUCGAAACUUUCCCCUUUCUUCCUUCAACCACGUAGUGGGGUCGAUCCGAUACCUCCCUGUGGAAAUACAAGGGCGGGCUAGUCUCAUUCCGAAAGAUAGAAGAGAGAUUGCACCCCUUUUGAUUUGAUGAAAUUACAUGCUCUCCGAACUCCUCUCGUGCCUAUCGCUGUCUCUGAAUAAGUAGCCCUGCACCCAUCUUUCCUCCGCACGCACCUGCACCCUACCUCUCUUUACCUCGCCCUGGCUAACUCCUUUCCCAGUCUUCUUUCUAUAUUAUAUAACCUCUUGACUUCCUUCUUUUAUUCAAAUGCAUCCGUUAGUGGGUCAAGCUGCUUUCGCUCCUUCUCCUUACAGUCGGAAAUCUUAGCAAUAUUCUUUGCGCCUCAAAAUCAACUCGGAAAUCUCUCAAAUUGCAUUGAGCCUCAAUUCAAUCUUCUUUGAACCUCGUGCCUCUCUCUUGGACUGGGUUGUGCUAUGGCUUGAAUCUCGCAUAGGGCGAAAUUUGCACAUUCGAACUAAGAUAAGAACAAGGGGUUUGGCUGAAUUCUAAUGGUUCAUUCUCAUUCAUGAAAGAAAGCAAGGGUAAUUAUCCUGAAAAGAAGGAAAAAGGACGCGUAGGAGGAGGCUCCAUAAGACAGGGAUAUUGUAAGCCGAUAUUGCUGUUUUUACCUGAAUUACGAAGUGAAAGAAGCCGAUCUUGCUCUUUUGACCUCAUUUGGCUCUAGGAUAAAAUCACACAAUUACGGAGUGAAAAAAAGAAAGAUUAUACUUGCUUUCUCAAAUUCUUUGAGCAUCGACCGCCUUGAUUUUCUUCUUUUAUGAGGCACAAAAAGAAAGAAUGUCAUCGCAUAUUUCAUUGCACCGCGGAGUGGGUUCCAUUCUUCCCGCUCCCUUCUCGUACGCCUAAGACAAUAUCCAUUCUUCCCGCGUAGUGCUUUCUUUAUUUCUAGUCCUCCGUCCAAACAAACCGAGCACCUUUCGCUCUUUCGCAAUAUUCUUUGCUCCUACCGGUCCUCAGUCCUAUCCAUUAGAGAAUUUGAUGAGGAGGAGAGAAAAUCUUCUUUUCACCUUUCUAGUCGGACUAGAAAUCCAUUAUUUUGCACUUCUUUAUCAAGCUUAAUCUGUGGACUUGAUUUAUGGGGUGAUGAGACAUGCCCUUGUCGAGCUUCGAUAAUUCUUGAGAAUAUGAAUUCACCGCUCCUCUUGAGGCUGAAUGAAUAUGAAUAUGAGAAAGAAUUUGAUGUUUUUCUUUCUCACGCAAUAUGCUUUGCGCCAUCAAAGAAAGGUCCAGGGUCCGGAGUCCGCAGUCCGCAGUCCGGAGUCCGCAGGGCCAAAGAAAGGUCCAGGGUCCUACGUCCGCAGUCCGCAGGAUUUAUCCGUAGGACUAUCCAUAUGGAAGUAGUCCGGAGGAUUUAUCCGUAGGACCAUCCGUAAUUAACAGAAGCAGGCGAUCAGAAUGAUCGGAGUGCAAGUAAAGAAAUCCAUAUUUGUGGAUAAGAGAGGUCCUUCGGACUGGACCCUUUCUAAAUUGAAAAUUCACCAAUGGCGUCAUAAGGUGGUGCAUGGGUUCAUUCUUAGUCAAAGACGGACAACGACACACCAGGACCCAUGGAGGAUGAAAUGAGAGACCGCUAGGGAUGAGGAAUGAACUCGCCGUUUAGGAUGAUGAAUUGAGUUGCUCGACCCGUAGUUUAGCAAUUAGUGGAAUUAACAAGUCCUCCGGUUCCCGCAAUAUUCUUUGCUCCUCACUAUUUAGCGGAAACUGCUUUAUAAGGGAUCAUGACGGAUAUUAUUGGAAUCAGACUCAAGAGGAGCGGUCUCGAAAUAUUCUUUGCACCGCACCGUGGGGGAGGCGCCAUAAGACAGGGAUAUUGUUGACCUCUUAUUUUGAGUUCUUGCUUUCUCUCUAUCUUGAGGCUUCGAACCUUGACGCUUGAUUCUAGUUCACACCGAGUCAACUCUAGCUGCCCGUGAUAGGCAUCCUUCUAAGUCUCAACUUCUUAGUUUAUUCAAUAGAUACCCUCAUUCAGAGGCUUUACGGUCGAGAUCCGAUCCAAGCAAAGAAGGAUUCCUGCUGGGCAGUGGACUUGACUCAAGAGGGAUGGAUGCCGAUUCGAGAAUGCCCUAGCGUGUCUUCCCCGAAAGGCUUUUGAUGCCAUUUCGAAAUGGGCAAGAAGUUUUCUUCUGCAACGAGAGAAGAGAAACUCUCGAUCGGCCGCACUCUGGUCGCGCUUCUCGGGCUGCUAAGGCAUUGAAAGAGACUGAUUUUAUGCGCCUUUCCGGUCUCCGAUCCUGGGACUCGCCUCUCUUUCCUCUCCCUUCCUAUCCCACGGGGUUUGGCACUUUUCUCUGACUCAUUCAAGAGAAAGAGCUCUUCUUUUUCUACUUCCUCUUCUUGCUUAUUAAAUACAUUAUGUCUUUAUUGUACCUUUCUAGUUAGUGAGCUGAGCGGCGCGUAUGAAUAUCAGAGACUGAAGCCGAUCCCUUGUUGAAGAGCAAAGACAGAGCAAGACACCUAGAAGGACCUUGCUGACCCUUGAUCUGCGCCCCCCACUCCGCGGUAAAGCAUCUUCGCACCUCUCACUUACGGGAGAGCAUCUUCGCACCUUGACAUCGAAGAACUCUUGAGAGCUAAGUCCUCUCACUUGAGAAUUCCGGAGUCGAGUUCCUUCGCUUCGGGGAACCCAAGAACCCAACCAAGCAAGGACAAGAGAUCUCAUUCACAGAUACUGGUGCACGAACCCAGUACCCGAAAGGAAGAGCUAACCCAAAGCAAGAAACCUAAGAGGCACCUUGCUCCUUCUUGCUCGUCGUUCUCGGGGAACCCACACCCCCUACCUCUCAUUCUCCUGCUAUGGGGGAAGGACCCAUGCCCCCUGUACCUAAGAGCCUCCUUCUUCCCUCUUCUUGCCAUCUGUUGGACUCAACAACUCUCCUUCUCCUCACCCAAGAACAAUUCAAGGUGCUAGGUGGACCGGACCCUUUCUAUCAUUCCGAAAGCUCCUUUCUUUGCUCAUUUGACCUCUUAUGCCUUCGGGCUGGUACCGAAUUCCCUUGAUGCCUAAUUUCUCUGGCCCUACUUACCACCCUUAUAGCAAGAUAGCUAAUCCAAUCAUGUGAUAAUGGGUGAAUGAAAGCGGGUUUGACUAGUUUGAAUGCUCCAAUCCCAAGUCAAAUGGGAGCAGGUUGGAACCUAGGAGUGGGAUCCACCAUUAGGAAUUCCCAGUUAUCAUGGUUGAGCUAUGAAGUGAAUGGAAUAAAGAGGAACCUACUUACCGAUAGCGAAGCGAAUACUCGUGCAAGCGCAAUCAAUGAAGAAGGGCAGUGGUUUUCUAAAUCAAUGAACGUCCAUAAAUAGGAAGCCUAGGAAGAAAAAGAAGACAAGAGAUCAAUGAACAAGGUUCAAAGAAUAAUAGUAUUCAUGUUUUCAUAGAAAGGAAUAAAAGGAAGAGAACUAGUCCUCCGCGGAGAUAGAGAGAAAGAAGCGUAAUUGAAGGCUGAAAUUUCGUGCAAGUGCAGAGGCAAGGCUCAUUAUCGAAGAAAGCCUAUCCAACUUUCUCUCUUAUGUUUUGAAUUCCACCGCGGGAGUCAGACAGGGAAAAGACAGAGUCAGAGGUCCCAGAUAGGAGCGAAGUAGCUUUACCCAUAUUCAUAAGUUAGAAGCAGCUAUUUUGAAGUUUGAUAGGUAGGAGACAAGAGGGAAAGGCCCACCCAGGAGAGGAGUUCUGAAUAUCGGAUUAUGACUUUCGCAGAGAGAAAGAGGAUUUAUUUAGAAAAGAGCUUCAACCUAUUCUUAGCCCAAGCAAUAGGCGCCGCCAUUCUUUGAAUUAAUUCAUUAAGGAAGAAGAAAUUGAAAAAUCAUAAGUUCAUUCUAGCUCUUUCUGCUGACUUCUUCUGAUUGAGAAAACCCAGGGCAAGCCUUGUAGUCGGCUGGUAAAGGUCUGGCAGAGUAUCAACGGAGAACAAGCUGAAAGAGGAACUUUUCAUUGUGCGGGAAGACGUAUAAUAUGGACUGAAUUCAUAAGCUCGAGUCAGACUUUCAGUGCGAAUUCUCUUUUUUUUCAUGGUUUUGACAUAGCAUAGGCUGAAUGGAAAUUCCUUCUAUCUUGAAAUUCUAUUCUAAGUCGCUUCCCUUCUUCUCUCAACUGCUACAACUCUCCGUCUUCUGAUGUUCCGCUCCGUCGCAAAUUCUUUGGUCCUCCUACGCUUAAGAUGGGACCGGCAAGACCCUGCAAUAUGAAAAGCGCCUGUCUCGCCUCUCCUUUCAGUCGAGAGCCUCCUUCUUCUUCUUUAAAAAGAAGGGUCCAGGUUUCAUAAGACUCCUUCUACGCGGUCUCGCCCAGCUUUUGAAAGAGAAAGGGCGGGCCUCUCGGGAGGAAGCAUAUGGUAAUGGGAAUUCCGCCCACCUACUAUGCCUUCUUCCCUACAAAACGGGGAGGAUAAUUCCACUGAUAGUAAAAGGAUGCCGGAUCGAGCGAGUUAGGGUGGGAAAGAAAUAGGGAUUCUUUGGAAGGAAGAUAGCUCCAGGUAAAGCUACUCAUCAACCUCCUCCUAAACUCAUUUGUACGAGGGGAACCGCGGAGGGAGUGGGCAAAUGCCUUCUUUCUUAGUGAGAAUCUCGUUUUUAGUGAAGCCCAAGGCAGCAUGAUUUCUUCUUUGAACCUCUCUUUGGGCAGAAAGAACUGGCGAGACCAUUUUGAUCCAUUGAAUUGUUGGGGAAGCAGAAAGGUAAAGGUAAGAGUCCGCUCGAUCAAUCCCCACUACGCGGUAAGCUGAAAGAUGCGAUCUGGCCGUCGGCCUAUUUCUUGAUUUCUUUCUUUGACUUUUACGUGGGAUGCAAACUAAACCAUUAGCACAGGCAUUCCAGGCAAUGAUUCGACUUCUUAUCUUGGGGAUUCAACCCCUAUUUAUUUAUGGAUGUUCAUUGAGCGAAGGACUGAUUAAUUCCACUGAUUUCUAACGCAAUAUUCUUUGCUCCUAGCAAAAACUCAAAUUUCAUUCAGCCUUCUGACUGUCCAUAUUAAAUUAAGGAACUGAGUAGGCGGGAGAGAAAGCAAUAGCUCCACCUGUUCGGGAUAGGAAUUCAGGAGAGACCAACUCUCCUCUACUUAAAGUAGCUGCGGCUGUUGAAGGAUCCGUUGAAGCUCUUGAAGCAGAGGUCUUCUUCGACUCCUUCCUUCCUGAAUGAAUGAUAAGGGGCUUCUUUCCUAAUUCAAAGCCUAGGACAAUGAAUGAAUUGCCUUUCCCCUCCCAAUUAAAUUAAUUAACAAAGACUAUAAACAACCUACGGAAAACCAUAGUAUUAAUCAAAGACAAAAAGAAGAAAGCCUAGGAUCAACCCAGAUCCAUUGACAAGAAAGCGCAACUUCGCAAUAUUCUUUGCACCUCCUAACCUAACCAUUAACAACCACUAGAUAAAGACCUCCGGAGCGGUGGAAUAUCGAGGUCCUUUCAGAAAGCCUAAAGAUGAAAUAAAAGGAUAGGCUUUCAGUAUUAUUUUGAGGUUUCAAGUCCCGCAACAAGGCUCCAUAAGACAGGGAUAUUGUAAGGGGUCCAGAUGAGUCAGAAACAUUGAGACCAGGCGCAAAGAAUUUGCGAAGGAACCGAGAAAUGAAAGCGAAAACGAAUAGUCCAAAAACCAAGGCGCAAAGAGCGACGUAGUGCUUUCUUUAUUAAUCCUUCUCCGCCGCAACAAGAGAAGUUCUAGGAUACCGAUAUACCGCAAGAAUGCAAUUCCAUAAACAAGUCGGGAAAUAGAGGGUUGGACUAGCUAGCCGCCCAAUAACUCACAGGUCUUUCUUUCCUUAUUCAUAUCAGAAGCAGAAGAAAGGGAAGAGGAUAAAGUCAUCAAGGAAAAAUCAUGGCAAUAUUCUUUGAACCUCCGGACUAUCCAUAUUAGGCGGACUUCGCCUUAAGACUCCUUGCUAUUGGGUCCGACUAGAAACUGAAAGUAGGAAAGCCUAUCUUUCUCUUUCAGACUCUUUAAAGUCAAGAGGGUAAAGCAUAUUCUAAGCUCUCCCUUUAGCUCUCGCACAAGACCCCUUUAUUUAUGGAUGUUCAUUGAGCCUUGUUCAUUGACUUGAUGCGGUAGGCGAAGAAGCCAUCCAGUAGCAAGCGCUUGAGAAUGAGUCGAAGGCAAAAUCCUUCCGUUUUUGUUUUGAGUAGGCGCUAUCUAAGUCAAUCCGUGCUAAAAGGAAGGAAUAGAAAAGGAAGCCUUGGGCAUAAUAGUCAGAGAGAGUAAGGGAAGUCCUGCUUUCAAGUGCUUUAUCGUAAGGGUCUGAAUAGGGUCCACCAGUAGCUGCUCUUAGUAAGACCAGUCACAGGGAUAUAUCGCUCAAAAUUCAAUAUCAAAGAGAUUGCAUUGAUACUUAGACUGAUAGCGAGCCGGAAGAGCAAAGUGAUGAAUCAGUCGAGACAGUCUUAGCUAUAAUCUCUGCCCUUACCGUGGAGUGGGUAUCUUUUCUCGUCUGAAAAGAGAAUAGUCUUCCUCUCUUUGUGAAUUUGCAGGUUUGAGAUUAGAAUGCCAUACUCACCCUGCAACUUACAGAAUCCGCAGCGAAAGAAAAGAUUCAAUCUUAUUCGUAAUGCUGGCUAAGAGAUUUUCGAUUCAGGGCGGGAUGGGACUGUAAAAUGGGUGAGGUAGGGUCUAAUCUUCGCUCUACGAGAGAAAGCUGAAAGGCCCGCUAAAAGUUGGAGAAGGAGCGAAAGAUAUCACGAAAUACCUUGAUCAAAGAGCAGACCCAAGGAAGGGAGUGCUUCGAUUCCCUUUAGCUCUUAGCUCUACGGAUGACUAAGAAGGCAGGAUCAAAGCGGGUGAGAGCAGGAGCACUGCUCGUCCUGGCAUAGCCGUAUGAUUUCGUCACAGAUUGUAUUCUCUCAUCCCGGCUUGUAAUGGCGAAAGCUAGAUUUCAUGGACCAGGUUGCCCUUUUUAUUCUUUCAAAGACUAUUACAAAGAUUACUCUCCGUCGCACUCACGGUCAUUAGUCUGGUUAGCUCUUCCUGAUAGGUUGAAAAGGAUGAAAGCCUUCUGACUUUCCUGACCCAUAGUCAGAUUUUUCAUACUCUGGAAAUCAGAUAAAAAGGUGAAAAGAAUAUUGACGGUUGGGUUCCUGGACAAAAAGGAUGAAAGUCGAGAAUUUCUUGGGUCCAUGUGAGCUAAGAGGUUUCUGAUGAGUGGUAGAGCAGUUGAUCUAAGCCUCAGUGCGGAUGAUGAAUUCUCUGACACAUGGCCAUCUUCCCUCUUAUUAAAAAGAAAAAGCCUACUUUGCUUUUCGGGUAUUGAGCUCACUGGGAAGCCUUCGCUUGAACCCUCAUUGCUACCGUCCUUUGACUUCACGGAAGAUUUGGUAUCCAACCUCUACCUUUUUUGGUUGGCAUUCCCAUUAUUCUUUCUACUCGUCUUCUUGGACUGGACUUCGGUGACGAAGGGAUCGAAGAUUUGGAUGAUCCAAGGUCGCGGCCUCCCAAGUUCUGCUGAUUGCCUGAUAUGGCUAAAUUCGAUGGUUCUGGAGAUCCCAAAGCCCCUAUAUUUCAGAAUAUCUUCUUGCGAUGAAGACCACUACUCUCAUCACGAAGGAGCGCAUUUCCUUCUUUGCUCUCUUUUUGGAAGGAGGAGCAAUGCGGUGGUACUAUAGCUUGGAUGCCAAGAUAGAGGUGGGGCGAGAUGGCCGAAAUCCGGAGCAAUUUGGAUACAAUGUCCAGCUUGAUCUUACUUUGCCUGAACACUACCAGGCGGCUCCCAAAGAUCUUCUUCAUUCAUUUCCAGAUGGAGUGGACCUCUUGCAAGCCUUCGCAAGCCUGCGCAGGGUAUCCCUAUUAUAGUGGGACAAGCCAGGUUCCUUCGUCAGUAAGGAAGAGACCGAGCCGUAGUAUAGUCCUUGAUGUGGUAAAUCUUCCUAGCCCCGGUAUUACGCAAAAUGUAGGAGUAUCCUAGCUUGCAGAAGAAGAAAAGAAAGAAGAUCUAGCCCAUAGUAAUCUAAUAGGAUUUACUCAUCAUAAAAAGGAAAGAAAGAUUUCCUUAAUCUAUUGAUAUUAGAAUAUUGAAGGGAUUUAUCCCCAAGAAUAUCCCGUCCUUCGGACAGACGGGUUAAUAUGGAUAGUCCUUCGGACUGGCACAAAAGUCAAUCAAAGAAAAUCAGAAUGAACUCAUUAACGAGAAUGAAAGAAUCAUUAAGAAAUGAAAGAAGAAUUAUGAAUCUGCUAGAUUUCAGACUAGUCCUUCGCGGAGUGAAAUCCCGGAAAAUGCUAGGUUUUGCCCAUAGGGAAGUAGCAAGAAAUCAAGUCAAAUGCCUUCUUUUUCACUCAAUUAUCGUUAUUUAUCAAUAUGAGAAAAAGUCCUAUUUAGAAGCAAAAAAGCCGGGAAAUAGCAAGGCAUUGUCCUAUUUGAUUUUCGAAAUUCACAUAGUUUGAUUCUUGUUUGAGUUUAUGGUCCGGAGAAUUACGGGUCUAUUCUUGAUUCCGCUCCUGAAUAUGGAUAGUCCUCCUUCCUUCCAUAUGGAUGGUCCUACUUCGGUUAAUUACGGAUGGUCCUACGGAUAAAUCCUCCGGACUACUUCCCUCCAUAUGGAUGGUCCUACGGAUAAAUCCUCCGGACUACGGAUAAAUCCUGCGGACUCCGGACUCCGGACUACUUCUGUUAAUUACGGAUGGUCCUACGGAUAAAUCACCUGGACCUUUCUUUGGCCCUGCGGACGUAGGACCCUGGACCUUUCUUUGAUGGACUUCUUUAUCCAUUAGUCGUUAGGCGCAAAGAAUUUGCGAAAGAAGGUGAAAAGAAUAUUUCAUGAGUGCAAGGCUGAAACAUUAGAUACCGGAAGCCUACGGCUGGGUCAAGACGAUCCAUAAGACAGGGAUAUUGUAAGGCGCAAUUCAAUAUGCGAGGUCAAAUCAAUCAUUUUCAAGGUAGAAAGAAAAGCCCACCUAGCGGUCUAGAGGUAGAGGAGCCGGUCUAGGCUGGAGCUCAUCAGUAGUAAGAGGAGAGUCAUCAGUCGAUGUUUCAGAAGUAGCGGAAGUAGCCCUUCCUUGGUCUUGCCGCAAACAAAUAAAGUGGGUUUUUUCCUAUCCCCUCUUUUUUUGAAGGAGGAGAAGGGCUUGAAAGAGUUCACGAGGGGAAGGAGUAGUGGCUCGACCUCUUCUCUAAUAGAAAGAAGUGGAAAAGCAGAAGAGGAAGUACGAAAAGAAUAAGCCGGAUAACCAGAUACCGGGGGAAGAGAAUGCGAGUAGGUUCUCAUCAGUCUUUUUAUUAUCCGUAGUUUUGAAGAUGAAAAGAAGAAAGAGUGCGGUUCGGGUAGGAGCUGCUUCUUAGUCAAGCAAUUCCAGGGGUUUCGUUUACUCUAUAGGCCUAGCUUACUAAUCUAACUUCAUUCCCGAGGGCUGGCCGAGAGAGAGCAUUAGGAAUGGGAGAUUCUACCGCGGGGGGCCGUAGCAUCACUCCUUACUCCUUAAGAGCCGCGUAGUGGGCAUCAUUUCUUAACAAGAAGAAAGCGCAAAGAAUAUUGCGGAAAAGGAGAGGUUCAAAGAAGAUUUCCGCUUGAUCCAUAAAAUAGAGAAAGGCUUUAGUUUACUUGAGGCAGAUUUGCUUAGCUCUUCGUAGGACCCCACGGAGCGGAGAGGGAUGAAAUAGCGAGACCAAUCCAUAAAAUCAGAGGAAGAGCGACCAAGAGGACGAAAUGCAGCUCGACUUCCAGAGGCAUGAGACCUUUUUCCUGUUAAGUCAAAGUCGGGUGCGGGUUCCUUUUCUAGCCAGCCCGCCAACGGAUGGAAGUUGAGUUGCUAUCAUGACUUCCUUCUUCUUCUUUCUGGGAGUCCUCCGGACCGGUUCUUUCCUCAAAUCAGAGUUCAAAGGGCAACUGCAUUCCUUUUCCUCGUUCACUCGGUCUAUAGAAAUAGUUCAUGGCUAGGGCUACUAGUCGUCAUACUUCUUCUUUGAGAAAGAGAUGGAACUCGUUCUCAUUGUUCAUAUUGCCGCUAUAUGAGUGAAUUCACGAGAUUCAUAAGAAAAUAAUCGCUUUGCAACACAACAAGAGCGACAGCCUCAACCGGAACAAGGGCCUCAAUGAACAAGGGGUUAGGGAUUGAAUCCGAUCUAUCCUAUCAGAAAGAAAAAUCAGAAUAAUUCAUCGCUUAGCUACUCCAAGACCAAGCACUUCCUCAACAGCUAAAUGCCACUGCUGGUCGAACUGCCGGUUCUGGGUCUCGUCUUUGGUACUGGGCGAGCAGAUAUAUACCUGGGAGGGAUUCGGCAGAAUCAAGCAGUUUGCCUUCGGCCGAUCCUGAAGAGGUAGGGAAUUUGGGGUAAGCAAAUGCAAACUCUUUCCAUCCGUGAAUGAAUAAAGCCGUCUUCAAUGGAUGUUUUUGUACGCUUGUACGCUUUGAUGCUACUGAAUUUAUAUCAAAGCACAAAACAGGGCUCAAAUAACCCUAAGAACUUGCCAAGUUCCCACUUCCAUCCUAGUUUGGAUUGGGUUUUAUGCUACUGAAUUUAUGCAAAAACAAGGUAUUUCGAUUGUUUUCUUGCAUCCGGCCUAUAGCUCAAAGUGACUAAAUUGGCAUCCUUCGAGUAUCGUUCUUAAUAGUUUCGUCAGUCAUAAAAAACCGUGGGAACUAAUGGCCCCACUCCGCGGUGAGAACUUGCGAUGCAAACCAUGGAAGAUGCAAAUCGGUAAAGGAAUGAACCCAUUGACUCAAGCGCAAGAACUGGUAGAGACAGCAGUCCCCAACCGUGGAGGAAGGAAGUCGAGACUCCUAUACAUGAAUUUCAGGCGGAAGACAGAGCGGUUCAAACUUGCAGAGAGAGCGCAGAGUUUUUGAAUAGUCGAGUAAAUCAUAAGGCUUCUUCCCUGUCCGACCCGGAUCCUUCUCAUUCCCUUGCUCGAGAGAGAGAUUCCGCCGAGACUUUUCUACUACUUCUCUGAUAAUGACCGGGCCGCUGCCUCUUGGGAGAGCUGCUUUAGCGUUGAGACCCCUUUUUGUACUUAUUCCUCGGGUAAGCCGUUGAGACCCAAGUCCUACGGGAUUCUGGAGACCGAAUUUCAUAGAAUUCCGCCGACCCCACUAAUUCAGAGACAGCUUCUGAUCCCUUCUAGCCGAUACCGAGACAGAGACUGAUUUCUUCUUGUCUAGCUGCCGAAAGAUAAUAGUAAUAGUACUUCUCCUCUUCCGUAGGUCUCUCCGCAAAUUCUUUGCUCCUCUGACGGGGACUGAUGCGGAUACAGUCUAUUCACACCGCGAGUAAACUCCAACUAAGCAGCAAAGACGACUUCUUUAGCGGUUUCAAGUCGUCCACUCAACAAGGGUCGAGCGAGUCCCACUAAGAUCCUGCCUUUAGGUAGAGCGGCUUCUUUCACUCCGUAAUUCAGCCGAUCUUGCUGUUUUGACCUCAUUUGGCUCUAGGAUAAAAUCACACAAUUACGGAGUUCAAGUCCCCGCUCGGCCUCUAACUGGUAUGAGAUAAUAUAAUACCGACUGAAGACCCUCUUCUGAUAGCUUGAGGUCUAACCUAUCCUUCUAGGUCUCGCUUACUCAUGCAUUCUCAUACCGGGAAAAAGACCAAGUCUUCGAGGUUCCUCCUCGGAACCAUCUCCUAACCCUCCCACGGGGCGGUCGAGCCUAAUCUAGCCUACGAUGGAUGAGGGGAGAUUUCCUCUUCUUCUCCGGAACUCCAAGAGAGUAGCUUCCCCGCCGCAAGAGAUAAUUCAAGGGAUAAGGUCCGAGCCUUUUCCAGGCUGAUUUUCGGGAAGAGAUUCUUUCUCCAACCUAGCCUUUAAAGUUCUAGGUCUUACCCCUACGUGGGCCUUGUUCAUAGAAUGAAAUACCGGAGAACUCCUAAUCCACUCUACUAGGUCACAUCCAUCCGCGCCCUUGGAUCUGAGAACUUCUCCUUCAAGUUACCUUGCCGACUCCCCUACUUCAGGUUCAGGGGACCCUACUCUGACUUCUUAGUUCUCGCUUGAAGUGAGCACUUCUUCUUUCUCUGGAAGUUACCUGUGGCCGGUCAAUCCGGUAUCCCUUUCAGUUAGUCAUUCAAGGGGAAGGGAUUUCACUCUACGGGAUAGACUUCUUCGUCUAACUCUAGCUGAGGCUUCUCGGGCGGGCUAAGAGGGAAUUCCGCUUCCUUUUCUUUCUUCUUCCCUUGCCGGUGCUUUCGGAAACUUAGAAUAAGCGAAUGAAAAAAGGUCGGCGACCACCCUACUAAUUCUGGUCUCGGCCUCGGGAUAGACUUCCAAAGAGAAAGAGAGAGGGAUGAAAGAGGUUAUGCACGGCGUCCAAUGGGAUAGUUUGACGGGAGAUCCUAUGAGACCCUUCCAGGUGGGGAUCCCUCUGCCUCUGAUGAAUCAGACUCCGCCUGCUCCGGUACCGCACCCCUCCUGCUCCGUGGGCAUUGACUCUUAGGCGAAGGACUGAUUUAUCAAGCUUAGUCUCCUUUCGUACUCUGACUCUUGGGAGAGCUUAUUUACGGGAGGAGAUCUGUAACUCCAACAAGUCAAUGAUUAGGGGAGCUUUCUCUUUCUUCUGAAACCCCUUGUUCAUUCAGGCUAGGCUUUCUCUUCAAAGUCAGAGCUAUCCAAAAUCUCAUAUUUCAUUGACCCGCAAAGAAUAUUGCGAGAAGAAGGCUGAAUUCCAUUUUCGAGUAGCCUUAGGCUCAAUGCAAUUUGAGUUGCGAAAGCUGCUCAAACUUGUGGUAAAGGGUAGAUUCUACGCAUAUUGAAUUGCGCCUCAUCUAGAGCUUUUUUUUGUUUUCGGAGCUUCUUUACCGAAGGCGUCACAGGUCCGAAGGACUAUCCAUAUUAACCUGCGACUGAGGACCUGUCUCGCAAUAUCCUUUGCUUUGCGCCUUAUCCAUAGAUCUUUGCGCCUCUCGCUUCGCGCCUAGAGAAAGAAACUGCCGAUUUCCUUCCGACCACGCGUCCUCCUUCUGACCGUCAAAGCUUAGUGAUUUACUUAGGCCUUUCCCGCUACGUGGGCCGAUGCGCUGGUGGGGACGGACGUCUAUGAUCAUCCUCUUCUUUAUUGCUUUCUGCCUCAGAAAGGUGCGGAUUCAGUCCCUUGACCCGAGUCCGAGUCGAGCAGCCGAUCCAUGGUUGGGGAGUUUGAAUGCUGGGGCACGUGCAAUCACUUUUCUUUCAACUUAAGGAAAUUGUCCUCUUCUCGAGCCUAACCUAGGAGUGGGGCCUAAUUAGUCGAUUUGACUCUUGGGAUGAUUCCACGUGAUCGGAUAGUCAAAUACCGGGUUUGAAUGUGAUUCGAAUGAAAGCAAGGGUCGAAGCGCGAACAAUGAUAGAUAGGAGGAUCGCUUCGGGUUAGGGGGCAGGGAGAGAGGGUAUUUGCCCGAUAUGAGCAAGACCUAUUAAGGAAUCCGCAUAUCUUAAGCAAAUGCUCACAUCGAUUUAUGCGAGGCGCGAAGCCUUCACCUUUUCCCAGCUUCGAUUCCUUACCUCGCCUAUUUUUUGGAAUCUUUGCUCCGAAGGCUCUCAGAAAUUGAGUUCUGUCCGUAGGCUGAUUAUUUCAGACUGAAGCUCUCAGAAAUUGAGUUGCCGUAGUAGGGUUGAAGACUCCGUCCUUUCUAUCUCCUUCUACUCAGUCGACUGAAUAUUCAUUGACCCUCUUAUCGACUACCUCUCUCCUCUCACAAGAUCCAGUCAAUUAAUUACAUACAAGAGACCGCGUAGUGGGCCAUAGAUCUUUGCACCGCUCCGUGGUCCUCCGGACUAUCCAUUAGAUGGAAGGUGGGCUUUCUUCUUCUUCCGAAAGAUUAUUUAAAAGGAUAUGAAGAGUCAGUGGGAGGGGGCUCUUUGCACUCCGAAAAAGUGCUCGUAAAAGAUAUUCAAUAUAAGUAGUAAUUCAAGCUCUUCUUCUUUAUUAAUUCAAGAUUCUUUCUCUGCUCAAGUAAGGAAAAGAUAUUGAUUACUAUCUCUCUAUCUCUCUUAUAAUAGAGACCGAAAGAAAGGGGAAAGAGAUGGUACCCGCCAUUUUCCCGUGGGUAUAUUGAAUGAAAGUGCCUCUCGUUAUAAAGCUAGAGGGUCGCGCGGUCCAUUCCCAUCAUGGGAGUCACGGCAGUCUUGGGUCACCUUUCGGCUGGGGGUCCAUUUGUGCCUAUCUGAGGCGGAAAAAUCCCUGUGGGGGAAAUUUGCACUCGGUGAAGGAAGGCCGGCUGCACUCGUGAAAAAAAGGAGUCUUUACAGGGCGGCCCCACAGCGGCCUACUUAUCAAAAGGCUCCGAGAGCACGAUGAGUGGCUCGAUGUCGGAUCCCAUGCUUCAAAGUGCAGUAGUGCUAAGGUAUCCUAGGAUGCGGCAAAUAUGGGAAGAUUCCCACUGCGAGAGAAAAGGCUUGGGGAGCGAAUCGCAGGCUAUCUUUGGUGGCCGGACCCCUAUAAAUGUUCGGAACUUGGGGAUAAGUAUUUCCUCCUCGAUUGGGUGGCCUUAGUCUGCCACAGGCCGGUCAAGACUAGGCAACUCUUGAUCCCAAGUACUCAAAAAACCCUCUUCCUUACUAGACUUUCAAGGGUACUACAAGUAUACAGGGGAAGGAGCAAUAUUCCGGAUGACUGAUAUGAUCUAUGGGCGAUAGAUGAAUUUAGAGAGUCAGACGGCGAAUGGGGUUCUCAGCCUGGAGGAUAUUUGGCCCAAAUGUCAAAUUUUCUCUUUUCUCAGAAAGGAAAUGUGCCUAUUAUCUUUUUUGGGAAUGAGCUCCCACGGAUCUUUAAGGAAAGGGGACCGUAGGCCGAAAGAAGAAUCCCCUUACAUUUUCUAUCGCAAUCUUCGAAGCUCGGCUGAUCUCGACGUUUUGGAAGUGUUUAGAAAUCCGGGCGGGCACCCAGGACCAGAUUGGCAACCCCCCCAUUUUAUACAUUACGCCUUCAUUCAUUCUUUAGAAAGAAAAAAAAGACAUAGUCAUAGAGCGGUAUAUCUCUGUCGGGCUUCUACAAAUAUUGGGGAAGGAAUACCUUCUUUUCUUCCAUUAGGAAAGAGAAGAAAGACAAGAAGACGGACAAACUUAUAUGGCACAUUAACCAGAAUAAGUUGGGAGAAGGCGGGAUGAACCUUCUCAACUUUGCCUUAGUCCCUAUCCCGGGUAAAGAAAGAGGUGGAAUAAUCUGAUUUCAAAAAAGAAGGUAAUCUUCAUAGACACUGGAACCCAGUGCAGCCUUGACUACAUACAAUGGCCAUAUUUCAAGGUACGGGCUUAGGGGCGAUUCCUGAAAUUUCAAUGUCAAAAUCCUAUAAAUGAGAUAUUUACGAUGAGGAGAACAGUCCCCGCCCUACCUACUAAAAGGGUUUAGAGAACCUUUCAUUUCAAGUCAGAAGAGCGAUCAGGGAGACCACGAUGAAGGAAGCCACAUACUUGUCGGGGGUCCAGCACUGGACUCAACUUUCUUUUCUUUUUGCUUCAGAGCAUUUGACGUCAGGUUGCUCGGCUCUCUACAAGAGAGCCUUUCCUCAGAUUCAAAGAUUUAGAAGAGAAAGAGCGGAUAAAAGGGGGUGGGGCUGAAGUUUCUUUAGUUGUGGAAGCCUAAGCCAGAAUGAAUUACAUAAGAAAGGAAGACAGCCUCAUCGGUCGUAUUCAUACCGAGUCAAUAAGCUUUACGCUCAAUGAGAUCUCUUCAUCUUCGGUUUGUUCCGGGAUCUCUAAAAAAGAGAGUAGGCUUCUGCCUCUGGGCGAAAUUUUGGAGUCUCGUCUUUGGUAAAAAGCUUAGUGAAACUUCCGACUCUCGAUCUCCCGUCCACGGAAAAUCUGUGACUGACUCAACUCUGAAUCACUAUCCUUCAUUCUUAGGAGUGCAAUGAACCCACUCCGCGGUUUCCCAGUGGGUCCUACUUCGGUGUCCUACUUCCGGAUGGUCCUACUUCGGUUAAUUACGGAUGGUCCUACUUCGGUUAAUUACGGAUGGUCCUACUUCCAUAUGGAUAGUCCUACUUCCUUCCAUAUGGAUGGUCCUACGGAUAAAUCCUCCGGACGUAGGAUAAAUCCUGCGGACUCCGGACCCUGGACCUUUCUUUCUUUAAUGGAUAGUCCUACGGAUAAAUCCUCCGGACUCCGGACGUAGGAUAAAUCCUGCGGACUGCGGACCUGUCCAAAACUUUCUUUCUUGACCUCGCAAUAUUCUUUGCACCUCCGGCUCAAUUUCAUCUCUAAGCUCCGUGGGAACUGAAAAAUGGAGUUGGCUUUUAUGUGAUCAUGCAUUUUCUGAAUGAAGGAUUGAUAGUUUUUUCUUGGUUUAGGUGACUCAAUUGAAUCUCGCCUUCUACGCCGGCUGGGUCGGAAUCUGAAUAUGUGGAUGAAAGACGGAGGAUCGGAAGACUCGCUGCCUUUCUGCCUUCUUGCCUCAUCCCGGGUAGGGCAUUUCUAGGGGGCAAGCUGAAAAUUGAGAUGUGGAUCCUUCAAAGUAGGCGUUAAAGAUGAACCGACGCAAUAUUCUUUGCGCCAUUAAUUCCAUUGAAUUUGAACUAAAUAAGAAGAACGAAUCUUGCAUUGAGCCUUUGUUUUUGCUGCAACAUCAACGGAUUCAGCCACUUUCAACCUCAAAAUAAUACUGAAAGAGCCAAGUCUGAAGUACGGAUUUACGAAGGAAGGGGAUUAGAUUGUUCUAACCGCCUGUCUGACGCUUGAAAUUUCUCUCUUUUUUUGGGGGUACCCGAAAGGCGUCCUCAGUCAGAUGCCACUUUUCUUGAAUAAAGCGAUAGCCGAGAGAGUCGACUUCCCUCGUUCUAAGAUUACUUAAGGCUUCCUUCAAUCCAUUCGAUAGCCUCUUGUCUUCUUACCGCUACGUGGGGAAAGCGAAAGACAUAGGCUUGAAAGAAAGAAAAGUUCAGACCUUUCCAUGGCAGUCUUAAAUAGAGCAGAGUCAGAGGCAAAAGGAUUUGACGCAAGUUGAAGCUAAGGAUCGACAGAAAGCUAGGUGUCCUUCUCCCUUCUUAUCCUAAGGAACUCGCAGAGUUAACGAGAUCUCGCAGAUAUAUAGCCAAGUGAUUCACCACGCCAAUAGGUGGGUUUUGAUAGUCAGUCAGAAAUUCAGAUAGAAGGCACCGCUGGAACUUGUGCAUGCUUAUACUAGGGAAAGAGCUCUUCAAUUCAUUCCCCGCUCUCCUGAGGUCGUGACAAGGUUCAAAGAAGAUUGAAGUAGUGGGCUGCGCUUUGGGGCUUUUGGCUAUGCGUAGAUAUUCUGGUAAGACCAAUAUAGUACGGAAGCAUCUCGGAUGAAGAAGAGGUGCAAAGAAUAUUGCGUUGAGGACUCGGAAUGAAUAAAAAGAAUGCCUGUUGAAUGAUCAGUUUCUCUUGAAUAAGCUAGAUCUCUUGUUCCAUUUCAUCAACAAUCGUAAGCGAAAAGAUUAUAUAGAUAGGAGUAGGAGCAAUCUGGGGAUUCAAAGAGGCAGGUCGCAGAAGAGAAGAAAGCCUAGGGCUCUCAAAUAGAGAAAAAAGGUAAAUAGAGGCCAAUAGGCUUACGACGACGCGACUUCUCUUUCUGAAACUUGAUGGAAGGACUGACGGCUUUCCUCUUACUAUUACGUCUUAGGCCCACGUAGCGGUAGGCUUUCGCAGCUGCCGAAACCUCUAAGUCUGAUCCUUACCCCUUUGACUUCUGAAUUACCGCGAGUACUCUUUAUGGAGUCUUUUCCCUUUUCUUGGUCGUAUGAGUCCUUCGUCUUGGAUCUGGCGGGAAAGCCUCAUUCAUUGAUCUAUUUCUUAGAAAGAAUAGCUUAUUCUUAAGAAAGCGGACGGACUCAGCCUUUUCUUCUCAUGCCCUUCUUUAUGCCUCUUCCUUCGAUCUCCGGCGUGCGGGUCGAGCGCGUCAAUAUUCUUUUCACCUCUUUUCCUUGCGAGUUUGUCCAGUUAGUUCGGGAACCUAGGCUUUCUUCUUCUUUCCCAUGAGAACUUCCUAGUGAAUCUCGUAUUAAUCAGCAUCAAAAUCUCAAUCGCAUAUUUCAUUCCGCCUCCAACACGCUCUUUGCUUUGAGCAAUAUGCGCCUCCGGCUUAAAUAAGCGAGUCAUGAUUCCGCUAAAGUUUCAGACCUUAGGCUCCAUAAGACAGGUCCGAAGGACUAUCCAUAUUAACCCAGAUUUCGAGACCGCUCCUCUUGAGUCUGAUUCCAAUAAUAUCCGUCAUGAUCCCUUAUAAAGCAGUUUCAGACCUUAGGAGCUAUUCCAAAAACGAGCUCUUAAAUCCCCACGGUGCGGUAGUUUAAUCUUUCAGCCUUGCACUCCUUUCUUCUUUUCCGAAAUAUUCUUUCGCCUGAAUCCAUAAAUAAAUAGAUAGAAGUCGGGGCUCCAAUCAAGGCGGUCGAUGAUUCGGCGUAAAAGUUGUUUUCAUCGCUUUAAGAACAAAAAAGACAGUCUUAGCCGCCAUUCGAAGGAUCGGAUAGAAGCUGCUCUCUUUCUUUAUUCCUUGUUCAUAUCCUCUUAUUAGUUACGGGUUACGAAGGAGAGGGGUUUUAGGGGUUUAUGGACUUGACACAGAGUCAUCCCUCUCUCUAAGUAUUAAUUAGUCUAAGUCGGUGCUAUCCCAUUCAGAUAGGGAUCCCUUUAUCCCCAGACAAAUCUGGCUCGGAACAGUAAUAAGUAUCAGUAGCCACAGAAAAGGGGGAAGACUUGGAACUUCAAGCAGAAUCCGGAAAAAUAAUGGAUUUCUAGUCCUUCGCCUAAUGAAUAUGGGGAUCUGGACGGCGGAGCAAAGAAUAUUGCCUUCCACUUUGAGAGGUUAUGCUAGAUUAUAUAUAUAGUAAAUAGGUGGUUAGAGAAUGAGUCAGACGAAGGAUCCACGUAGAAGCCGCUAUCCCGACGGUCUGUCUUGAUCAGGUGCGGAUGCUACGGAGCGGCCAAAGACUGGAAAGGAGAGGGGCGAAGCGAAUGGAAGAUCAAUCCUCGGUUCCUAGAAAAAGAAAGCGGAAAACGCAAGUCAAAUUCUCUAAUGGAUAGGCCUUCUCGCAAUAUUCUGCGCAUCUGCGUCCUUCUUUUUCGCAUAUUUCAUUGCGCUGUCAAAAUGAAAUUAAUGGAAUAACUUCGCCUAAACUUGAAAGAAAGGUCCAAAGCCCUUCGUUAAUUACGGAUAGUCCUACUUCCUUCCCUCCAUAUGGAUGGUCCUACUUCGGUUAAUUACGGAUGGUCCUACGGAUAAAUCCUCCGGACUACUUCCCUCCAUAUGGAUGGUCCUACGGAUAAAUCCUCCGGACUACGGAUAAAUCCUGCGGACGUAGGACUCCGGACUACUUCCAUAUGGAUAGUCCUACGGAUAAAUCCUGCGGACGUAGGACUCCGGACUGGAUCUUGUUGGGCGAAACUGCUCAAGAAAUCAGAAUCUAUGAACAUAGGCUUUCUCUUUUCAUUGACUUAUGUCUCUUCCGAGACUGAGUCCUCUGACUUUCUCGCUGCCGAUGCAUGCCUCUUCUCUUGUCGACUUUGUCCUGAUUGUAGUACGCGCCUUCUCCUUGGAUACCGCCGCUACGUGGGCCUCAUCCUAUGGUUCGUGGGAUAGGGCUUUCAGUCUUCCUUGUCGAGCCGGUUCGGCGCCGCAGCACCUUUGCAGUGGAGAAAGAUUACUCUGGAUGUGCCAAUAAGACUAACGGAUGUUUCCUAGCCCGAGUCAACGUCAAUAUUCUUUUCACCUUCCUCAACUUCCCUUUCCGCCUCCCGUUCUUUCAGUUACGGGGAUUCAGGUCAAUGCCUUUCUAAAUCUACAUUAUUCAAAAAUCAUAAAUAGCUUGACUCAACGACAAGAACUGAAAGAGCUACCGGAACUGCUGCCCUUGAACCUCGAGCCUUUGCCUAGGCCUCUGCUGAACUCUACUUCUUGACUUUUGACUCAUACGAGUGGAUACUUCCCUCUCUACACAAAAGUCCUCAAUUGAAUCGAGACCGAAAGGGUUGAGUUUGGGGGUGGGGAUGAUUUGAGAAGAAAACUUCCGACUCCCUUCCACCUACCUUCCCACUUGCGAUGAAAAGAAGGAGGAAAAGGAAAGCAAGGAUGCUCGAGGGCCUAAUUCUUCUUCUUUUUUCUCUGAUCCAGAGCAGUGGUCUUAAGCAUAUAAGUCCAAAAAGUGCAUCUCAUGCGAAUAAAGAAAUAAACGAAAGAAAUGGAAGAAGGCCUUGGUGAUAAAGCUAUCUCGUCCCUCACCGCUACGUGGGCUCCAAGGUUUAUCCUUUUCUUAAGGAAUAUAUUCUCAUAAAAGAAGGGUGCGUCGGUUUAGCUUUAGCUAGGAGUCCCGCCUAGCUUCCGAACUUGCCAAGAAUUCGCGAUUGAAUAUUUUUUUCCGCUUCCUCGACGGGACCAUCGGGUCUCCAAACUGAGAACGACCAGCUUACUUGAAUGAAGAAAGAGAUAUCUCUCUUGUCCCACUUGGAUUUUUUUUCACAGCUAGAUAGAGUGAUAUUCACAGGAAAAGAUGUCUAAGCUCUAUUUGGACCGGGUCUCACCUCUGUCCAGGGCUUGACUAAAGAGUACUGGAUAUAUAGAUCUACUUUUAGUUGUGAAAGAAAGGAAUAAUAGGAUCCAUUCUCUAUUAAUAUCCAUUUAGUUGGUUCAACUCCUGCUUCAACUGCUAUUGACCCAUUCCCAAGUCAAAUAUGGUCAAAAAUGCUAAUCUGCCCAAUUAUUUGAGAUAUGCUUAAGAUAUCCGAAAUUCUUCAGUGCUAGCCCUGCUCAAUUCCUAAGAACCGAAAGUUUGCGGGAGGUGGCUCAGCCCGCUCCUUCUUCCUCACCGCUACGUGGGCGGGACCGGCCAUCACAGGGGACGUGAGAGAGGAAAGAAGAAGGCAAUAAGCGAUCUUUAGUUCUUUUUUUCAUGGUAUCUGCCUAGGGAUCAAGGAGGCUUGACUUGGCUAGGGACGAGAAUAAUAUAAGACCUCUGCGCUGCCCUUUCCGGCCAAUGCCCAAUACCGAGUUAUGGCUUUGCCUUGAGGUAUCCUCCCAUCUCCGUAUCGUGAGAAUGUCCUUGAGACUGUGGAAAGCAAUUCCUUCCUUUUUUUUCUCUUUAGCUUUUUUCAAUAUUCUUUGAACCUAGGUCACUUUAGUAGUUCUAGCUGCUGACCCGAAGGACAGCUUUCCACAAUUCCUUAUUUAUACUUCGUUGACCGGUCCGCUCCGUCGCAAGUCAAAUUCUCUAAUGGAUAGGCCUUGCUCCUUCGAAUAUGAAUUCAGCUUUUUUAAGCGGCUGCAAUCAGUCUGAAUUUCUGAUCAUGAAUCUUCAACCUUGUUUUUGAAUUGAGCUUUUUUAAGCGGCUGCAAUAUAGCUUUCAUAAGCCUAGGACGCAAUAUUCUUUGCGCCUCCGGACGGGUUCCCCGCAUAUUUCAUUCCGCCUUCGGACCUGUCCUCCGGACUAUCCAUAUUUAUUAACCCGAGCCUUUUUCCAUUGAAUUUCUGAUUUCAGAGGACUUCUAAUCAAUGAACAUCCAUAAAUAAAUAGGGGUCUUUCAAUUGCUUUUUGAUUCUGUGCGCGCUAAGAUUUGAGUCUUGAAAGUGGUGAAGCGAGGGACUGGUCUUUGCCCCUAAUCAAGGAUUUCUUCCUCUUCUUGACUGCCUUUGCCACAUUCUCCUACUCAGGUCUAGCUCUCACCUGUGCAAGCAUCAGAAGAUGGAUUCUCGCGAUCUACAGAGUCCUUAUGGCUUGCUUUUUUAGUCGGCCUCAGUAGCUUAAUAUGGAUAGGUUGAAUAGUCCGGAGAAAUAAUAGUACUUUGUCUUUGUCUUAAUCUGUGGAUAAAAAAGGUCAUCUGGACCUUUGUUUUUGGGUGAAAGAAGGUGAUGAGGACCUCGCAUCUACGUGCAAAAAGUUGGAGAACUAAGAAAGACCUUACUCUGCAUCAGUCUCAUGAUCCUCCCUGGGCGCCAGGCUGGGACCGCACAUGAAAGACGAGAGGAGAUAUUCUAGGCGGACGAAAGAGUAUUUUACUAUCAAAUUGGAUAUGUCAGCAAGAGAAGAAGAAGAAAACUGGACAUGGCUUUGGCUGCUUAAACUGCCCUUGGGAUAGAAGAGAAAUAUGAACUCUCCACUCCGCCUCUUCUUUCGGAGAAAAAAUGGCAUUAGAAGUAGGAGUCAAUUUGGAUAUGAACCACUUCCUUUCCUAUCUUAUUAUUCAUUUGAAAAAAGGUAAGGUUCAAUUUCCCUAUUGUAUUAGGUCUGUGAUCAGUCUUCGAUUCCUUAGAAGCCUUACAAGAGGUUCCAGGCUUUUUUUGAUUUUCCUUUUACAUAGGUCGCAUUCAAAAUUACCUUCCAUUAUUCCUCUCGCUACGAUGAGGGUAUUGAAAUAAGAAGAACCCUGGCGGUACCAGCUAAGACUUUCCGGGAUAGUAUUAGGAUCCAUGAAAGAUCCUUUUUUCCUAGCCUUCCGGCCCCUUUCCUUACUUCUUAGGAGAAUUGAUAGAAUAGAGGCUGGAUCAAUAGCAAUAGUAAGAUACUACAGAUCCCUUGCCCUUUCAGGUGGUGAGGAAGGUAGAUGCUUUGAAUAAAAUGCAAACUGAGAAGACUGCUAGUUAGGUUGCAAGGAAGAAUUUCUCCUGAGAAUCUUAAGUGAAUCUAAGAAAAAAGAUUUGUGCUUUUCUAGUCUUAGAAAGUCUCCUAUCUGUGGCUAGAAGAGAGUUGCCGAUCGACCAAAGAAGAAAAUUCGGGAAAAUCUCCUAUUAAUUCCACUAAGAGGGAUUUCUUCAUAUAGUCAGAAUCGUACCAGGGAAGACUAAGAUCUUUCUUUCAUAGAAGGACUUGCCAGUAGGUGCGGGGUCGGAUAAGCCGGUCAAGGUCUGGCAGAGUAGAAAGAAAGGGAUGGAAGGUGAGACUUUCCAUUUUCUAUCCUCACCCUCACGGAGAGGCAUAAGAUCCGAAUUCGAGAGAAGACUUCCAGUGCGAAUUCUCUUUUUCACUAGGUUUUGAUUAUCUUUCAUUCUCACUUCAAACUACUAAGAAAAAAUGGGGAAAGGAUUAAGAUGGGAUACGGACCCAAAAAGAAAGAAUAGGCGCUGAUCCAGAGAACAAAGAGAGAAGAAGUGAUUUUCCUUUCCGGGAUUCUCCCUGAAUCCACCCUGUAUUUUUCCUUGGGUCAUCGUCCUUUCCGUAGGUUGAAGGUAAGAUGGAUGACGAGGAUAAGUUCUUUAUGAUCUUUUUUCAUUCUUUCUACUUCCAGUAAUAGGCAUCGGAAUGAGACCGGGGCCGAGUGGGGGAUUGAGCUAAAGCGAGAGGCGCAAUGAAAUAUGCGUGACACGUAGGGGUCGAUUGAGACGGAGUCAAGAUUGCUACUUAUUCAUUCUAAUAUGCCGAGUCAAAACGACUUAUAUAAAAGAAUAUAUAUUUUCAGGUUUUUUAUUCGGGUCUAUAACUAGAAUCAUCAUACAAUGAUCGGCUUUCCAAAGGUCAUGAGCGAAGACAGAAGAAGCUAUCCAAUGGGCAGGUAGAGUAUGAAUUCCCAGUCUAGAUUUGAGAGAUUUAGAAUCUUUCUAAUAUAAAGAGAAUGCAGUAGACGAAGGAGGGUGAGAGAAAGAGCGCAUGAUCGGGUCUAUAUAGCGGAAUCGAGGAUGAACUUUGCCGAGGGGAUCAAAAAGGUAAUGAUAAAGGUGGCCUCACCCGUAUUCAGUUUAGUUCUUUCGACAGGUAAGCGAUUGGAGCAUACUUUCCACGGAAAGGGAAGGAUAAGAAAUUCGGAACCGGAUAGUCAAUCCGAGGUCAGGUCCAGUUGAGUGGCGAGUACUCCUUGCUCUUCCGGUUGCAGGAGAAGUUUCCUCUUGCAGCUUCCUUCAUCCGCAUCAUCCGUCGGCCUCAUUCAAGAUUUAUGGAUUUCUUGAGGAUCUACCACUUGAAAGGAUAUUCCAUCCGGCAUGGAACCAUCUGUCGGCAGCUAUAACUAAUAGGAGAAGGGGGAAGGGGUACAGGCAAAAGUCUUCGGAAAGCAUAGAGAAGAGGAGAAAGAAGAAAGUGAUCAGGAUGAAAGCAAGAGCUUACGAUUGAUCUUAGGCUAGUCCCAUUCUACUCACUCAGGAAAAUAGAAGCGCUCGGCUAUGGGAAUAGUUCUAGGGCUAGCCCUAUCAUUUGACGAGAUGAUAAUAAUAUCCCUUCUGACCUAAAUCAAAAAAGACUAUUCAUAAAGCCAAGGUUCAAAGAAUUUGAGUAAUUAUUCAUGAAAUUCCUUUGACUUCUCCUUCUCUUUCGAUAAGAAAGCUCUUCUAUCAUUUCUUUGGGCUGAUCGGUAAGUUGAUCUCUUUCAUUCGGACAAAACCCCCCGAGACUGAUCAUUCCCCGAGGUCCUCGAACCAGGCGCUUACUCUCAUUCUAAGAGUGAAGAGAAGAAUUCCCAUUCCUCUCUACCCCCACUACGCGGUCUUCAGUCGACCCCACUACGCGCUUCUUCCAUCCCUUGCUGGAUAAGAAGUGGUCUUUUCUUGCUUGAGUAUGCAUGCCUCAUCCUAAGACCAAGGCCAAUAGCCCCAGCGGUUUCACUCAAUUCCAUGCCAUGGGAAAUACGUUCAUUAGAAUAAAAGGAUAAAGAGUUCAAUGCCAGCGCAAAUCCUGAUAUUCAAGACCAACCUCGACCUCGUAACCGCUCCCUCGGUCUCACCCCUGCUACAACUUUUCUAUCUUGCGCUUGCACGGAGCGAAAUCCAGUAAUAAGAAGAGCAGAAAUAGACCUCAUAUAUAAGUCAUUCUUCUCUCAGAGUACAGUAAUUAGUUCAUUAUUAACCUGGUGCAAAAAAAAGAUAUUAUAAUAAGAAAGAAGAAGACCUCAAAUUCUUUGAGCCGUCCGGAGGACCAAAAAGAAAGGUCCAGGGUCCAGAGUCCGGAGUCCGCAGUCCGCAGGGCCAAAGAAAGGUCCAGGGUCCUACGUCCGGAGGAUUCUUAUCCGUAGGACUAUCCAUAUGGAAGUAGGACUAUCCAUUAUCUGUAGGACUAUCCGUAAUUAACCGAACUUUGCACUGGGGCAUAAUCUUUCGUUUUAUUAUUAUUAGCUUAUCAAAAAGAAAUGACUAGUUACCGAAAGGACUGAUAGUGCAUCCGCACAAAAUUAGGAAAGGGGUGCUCUUUGAACCUCGCAAUAUUCUUUGCACCUGGUGUAGCUGACUCUGGAUCUGAGACGGCUACUGCCCUCGUCCUGGGACGGACUCGGACUGAUGGGACUGAUUCCCGGAGGCGUCUUGAAACUCAUUCUACGUCAGCGACUGUCUUCUUCAACCUCGGCUGCGACAGACCCAGGCCGAUCCAUCCGACCCAAAGCCUAGAUCUACCGACUCCUAUCCCUCUCCGGGACCGCAGUCCACUAUUGGGCGUCCGGUUUGAGAUAAAGAAGAAGAAGACAGAGAUUCUUGUCCACUCCCGAACUAAAGAGAGAAUUGAGUGAGAUUAAAUACGAUAUUAGGAAAUGGGGAUUCUAUCUGAUAAUUGGGAUUCUUUGUCUAUUAUUUUGGUUCUUGUCCGAUCCGCUGCUAAGACUCGAGCGAAGCAAGUCCUUCGCCUCAAUGAACUUUCCGAAGUCAGGACCGUAGGCAAGGGGCGAAGCCAAGCGAAAGGAGCGCAAACUGGAGAUACUACAUCUCGUCCUACGCACGGGAGCGCAAAGCGAGGAGGACUCUUCAGUCUAAACCUACUAUUUGGAAGAAAGCCUCAACCCCCACUACGCUACAGAGAAGACGCCAAAAAUCAAGGUCCAGGCGCCAUAAGACAGGGAUAUUCUUGUCUCCUUCUAAGAAAAAUCAGUCCAUCAUAUCUUCUUAUUUCUUUCUAGGCUUCGCCAUUCUCGUAUUAGCAGCUCGCUCUUAUUCAUUCAAUAGUUGUCCUUCUCUGAUUAUUAGUUUCGCAGGUGCAACUCAACCGGAGAAAUCAGACUCAAGAUCAAUAAGAACAUAAGCUCAGCAGCUCUGAUUAUUUUAUUAGUUUCGCAGGUCUUCUUAUUAUAUUAGAGAAAGAGGGGCGAAGCGAAUAGUCGUGCAAGAGAAGAGAUCUCAUUUUUUCGACUGAAGGAAGGUUCGGAGACGUAGUCGAUGAGAUAGAAAAGGGGAAAAGUGCAUUAUCAUAAGGAAAACAGAGUUUACGAAGUUGAGCGAGAGGGACUAGGCACAAACUAUCUAUAUAGAGCCGUUAUGAGUUAGAUUGCUUUCACUCGAUAAUGUGUACAAAAGCAUAAAGAAUCUAUUUCAUGAGUUUGAGCUAUAGGGGAAGCUAUAAAUAGAAAACAAGAGGACUCAAGGCUCGACCAGUUCCGGUAGCUCGCUCUUCUUCUUUCAGUAGCCGUCAGUUGUUCCAGCUGAGUCAAGCUAUCUUACUUGCUCUUUUUAGUGAAAUCGGUCUAUGAUGCAAAAAUGUAGAUUUAGAAGCUGCCCAUAAAGGCAUUGACCUUAAACCCUAUCUCUUCCUUCUACUUAAAAGCUGAUUUUUCUAUGCCCUCCACCCCCCACUGAAAUUAAAGAACGGGAGGCAGAAAGGGCCCUUGCUGCUUCAAGGGAAUUCGAUCUUUCCGAAGCAAGAGAAGGGGAAGCUAGAACUCAGUCAUAAGAAGAAGUAGGGAAAAGAUCCGUUGCCCUUGACUCUGCUGUCGAUCUUUCUCUUUCAGAGUCCAGAAAUGAAAGUGGAAUCAAAAACAAGUCCUUUCAGACGAGUUCUAUAGCUUCGCCUAUUUUUUUCCAUUAAUCAGUCCUUCGGAGCAGUCCAAAAAUCAAGGUCCAGGUGACUCAUUCAUUCCUAAAUCAAGAAUGUCCAUCAGACUCUAGCCUAUUGAAGCGAAGGACUAUGAAUAGCUAUUAGAACGAGGGAGGCUGAAUUCAUUGAGUGAUCGAGGACUUGUUUAUAAUAACAUCAUAUUUUCGGAACGAGGCUCAUGAAAAUAGGGGAAGACUUGUAGUAAAUCAAAGAAAAUCAGAAUGAACUCAUUAACUCGAAUGAAAGAAGAAUUAUGAAUCUGCUAGAUUUCAGAUGAAUCCGCGGAGGGAAAUGCUAGGUUUUGGGCCUAUAAAGUAGCAAGAAAUCAAGUCAAAUGCCUUCUUUUUUCUCUAUUUUCGUUAAAUAGAAAUCUUCGAAAAAGUAUGAAAAAGAAGCAAAAAAGCCGGGAAAACGCAAUGAAAGAAGAACUCCUAGGACAGGGAAAAUCAAUGAAGACUUCUAGUUUGAGUUUAUGGUCCGGAGAAAUACGGGUCUAUUCUGGAAUUCACUCCGUCUGCAAUCUCAAAAUCAAUGAAGGAGUACAAUGAACAUCAUAAUGAUUCUUUCAUUCGAGUUAUGAAAUCAUAAUUCUUCUUUCAUUCUCGUUAAUGAGCCCGUAGUUAGGAGUAUUAAGACCGGUCCUACGUCCAUUUAUCCUCCGGACUAUCCGUAAUUAACCGAAGGAGUGGGCAAGGGGUGGAAAAGGUUCUGCCACAACCGAUGCCAUGCCGAUAUGACCAGUGGAUUGGGGCCUUCCCUUCCCCUGAAAGUGAGAGAUCCGCUGACUUUGGGAGUCCUAGUCCUGUACCUGGAUAGGGCGCUUCCUUCUUAUUAAUUAGUCUAGUGAAUACACCCGCAUAUUGAAUUGCGCCUCGUUCUCACAAUGAGAGAAUCGGAGUUUAGAGGUCCAAGAAGUCAAAAGAAAGACAGCAAUGUGAAAGUCAGAAAAGGUUCAAAGAAGAUUUCCGCUUGAUUUGAUUUCACGCUUCGCUAGGCUUGAUCUUUCUUUUCAUACUCCUAUAGUUCAAAUGGAGUAGUUUGGCAUGCUUCCGAGUUCUCUUGAUGUGACUGACUCAUUAUCACAAUCACAGAAGUAAUGGAAUGAAGAACGUGGAUCCCUCAACUAAGUAGAAUAGAUAGAGUCUCGCUACUCCCAUUCAGGAUCUUGUCUAGCUCCGACGCUUUCAGUGAGACGGCAAAUUCUCCCUCUUCCACCUUUUCAUACUAAUCUACGGAAAGAGACCUCUUCCGUACUUUCAGUUUCUAGUCGGACUAAAAUCAAAUAGUCCGAGAUCAUUCUUUGAGCCUCUUUCAUUGAUCUAUUUUGAUGCCUCUUCCGCAAGAAAGUCAAUGAGUAAAAAGAAUAUUGACGCUCGCAGCGUGGUUGCCUCCAUAGAGUGAGGUAGGCCUUUCAGUUCACUAAGAAUAAAGUCAAGACGGGUGAGCUCUUGAAAAAAGCUCUUGCAUCCAAUAAGCUUGGGAAGGUUAUGAAAUAGUGCGUGCCUCUUCUUUUAAGAGGAAAUGAGAAAGUAUCCCCAUUCUCAUAAAAAAGAAAGAAUCCCGCACUGGGAGGAGUGUCCACAAGGGCUAAGAAAGAAGCAGUUCUGUUCUGGGAAGCCGCAGCUCAGUCUCUUUCUUCAGUGGCAUAGGAAGGAGUUGGGGAAGUGAACUCCGUUGAAGUGGCAAGUCCUUUCUCUUGUUCUUGAUUUGCAAUCUCAUUGAUGAGAAAAGUGCCGAGGUUCCCGAAGGGAUCCGACCUAAUCUAUUGUAAUAUCUCAACUAAGGAAAUGCAGCCUCACCCUUUUUACGAGAAAGAGGCAGAAAGGCGCAAAGAAUAUUGCGAUGCGAUUGAGAAGAAUUUUUCAGACCUAGAGGAGAGGGAGAGAGAGAAAGGGAGCAGUUAGGGUCGAGGUAUUCACAAGCCUCCAGCGCUCACAAUUCUUCUUUAGUAGGGUCCCUUUCUCCUUUGAAUGAGAAUAGGGGAAGAUAGGUUCAACUAAGCUUCCUUCCUAUGCAAGAACGACGACUUCUGCCUCUGAUGAUGAAAGUGCUCCAUUAGUUCUUUGCCUCGGUUGAGCUCUACUUCCCCAGGACAGGAGAACGGCAGAGGAGAAAUCGACCUACCUAAUUGAGCACUUUCUUGUCUUCUUUCUUUCUCAGGUUUCCAUUUGUUAUCCCCCACGGUGCGGUGCAAAGAAUAUUGCGUGGAAGUUCUUUCUGUAGCAGAAGAAAAAGAAGUAGGAGUUGAAAGAAGAACUGGGACAAGCGAAAGAAUCGAGUAAUAUCAUCCCAUUAGGAAGAAUGCUGAACGAGCAUCAUAUUGAGGAUAGGCUCCCAGUACGAAGGGAGAAAGAGGAAGCGAGAAGUUACCGAUCCAUAAAAUCUAGAGGCUCAAAGAAUAUUGAGCUUUCUCCGCGUGCCAUUCGAAAGAGAGCGGCGGGAAAGGGCACAUCCUGAUUCAGAGGUUCGUCAAAGAUGUCAAGGAAAGGAAUCUGUCUCGGCUCGGACGGAAGAAAGGGACAAAGUAAGGAGACAAAGAGGCGCAAAGUAUAUUGCGUGAAGAGAAGAUUUCCGCUUUCUUUGAAAUUCUCUCUGUGGCUUACAGGGAAGUUGAGGAUGCGUCAUCUCUUUCAGGAUCAGUCUCAGCCCUUGUUCAUUGAGGCGGUUCUAGUAGCUGAGGCGGUAGCUCUUUCGGCUCUUCCUGAAGUUGCUGAGGAUGCCUCAUGAGAGAUCGAUCGGGACUAGAUCUCUUGACCAAAUAGAUAGAAAGGCUUAUGUAUUUCUCUAAAUCAAAUUCAUUGCCAUAUGAUAUGGAUGAUGAACUAGUUCUAUAGCUAAAAAGAAAGGCGGUCGAUCUAUGAUCCCUGAUUGACUUUUUCUUAAGAAAAGCAGAGUGAUUCAAGGCCCACAGAGCGGUUCUUCUUCUUUCAGUUUACUUCUUGAGACAUUCUUCUCUAUUUCUCAGAUCAUAAUAGAAUCUACCUUUACUGAGCACGCACACGCUCCCGGCACAGCACAAGAGAGGAUCGGCCGAACUCUUUUUCAGUUAGUGGGACACGCCCAAGAACUCAGAUACGACUUAAGAUUUAGACACAGACAGCAAGCCACCUCGCUCUUAGGAGAGGGACGGAGGAGGAUUCAGGACAGCUAAAUCAUAUUUAUUAGCAAGCUCCCAUUACAUCAAAUUACCGGUAGGUCAGAAUAGAAUAAAAGGAUAAAGAUCAAUCAAUACCCGAUGAAGAACUAAGCUAGCAUAAUCUAAUUCCGCCUAUGAAAGAUGCCUCCUACUCCGGGUCUCGCCUUUCGCCUAAUGGUAUUCUCCUUCUGCGCCUACUCACUUACCCCUACGUGGGACUCGUAAACCACCCUUUCGAAGAACUUAGCCGCUAUCCCGUCCCAGAUUCAAAGAGCUAUUGAAAUAUUCUGAGAUCAUUCUUGAGAUAAUUCUUUGAUCCUCCGUCCUUAGUCGUUCUUUAUAUCCAUAUUAGCUUAGCUUUCUUAGAGCGAAGGACUCGGUAAAAUGCUAUUUUUCAUCGAUCAAUAUCCGCGAUUGCCUUCCAAAAAAAAGCUGUUAAAGCACUAAGUCAAAGGCCUCUGACCAAAUAAAAGAGUGAGCCACGGAGCGGUAGGCCUUUCCCUUCGUCUGCAAUAAUAAGCCUUCUACGGGCUGAGUCCAAAUCAAGGAUUUUUGCAAGAAAACCUAAAAACGGCUAAGCUAAUAAGGCAAGGUUUUGAUGAUUUACUUUACUAUUACCUACGGCAACAGGAGGCGACCUAAUAAAUACUGUCAAAAGAAUAUUGACCUAUCCCUCAUCCCCUAAUGGAUAGUCCUUCGGACCUGUCUUAUGGGGCCUCAGUAGCUUAAUAUGCUUCAAUCUACCGCUACGCUACGUGGGUAACCUGUCCGGAGGGGAGUGCAAGUCAAGAGGAGUGCAGGAAAAGGUGAACUUUCAACGGUGGAGUGGAUAAGCCAAGGCUGUCGCUUUGAAGAGGGAAGUCGGCAAACUAACCUCAUGAAUAUCAACUCGAGUACCUUCUUAGCCUUACUAGGGAACUGAUAACCUAUAUCUGAGACAGUCUAUUGAUUCCAAUACGGUGUCGAUCCCUUCCGAAACACAGACAGAAGGAAAGAGAUAGGGGGUCGCGAGCCUCCCCUCAAAGGGAUACUGCCUGCGGAUUCCCCUUUUCAACUAUGGGUUCAAAGAAUAUUUCAGCUCGGCCUACGAUCUCACGAAGAACUUCUCCUUCUUCCACUAAGUCAGUCGGAUGGGACUUCUGCCUCCGCUUCUUCAGGUUAUGAUUCCCCAGCCGGGUUAGUCGAGCGCCCUGCCUUAUUCCGCUCUUUCUGCCUUAAUGACCGGCGGGGCAAUUCAAAGACUUUGAUUUACAAUCAAUCCCAGGAUCUAGCGAAACCCCUUCUUUAUCUCUUUCUUCAACAAGAGCUAGAGCGAAAGCUGAAAGAACAAAAGCAGCCUCGAUCCGCGCCCUUGCUUCAGCUUCAGUAGUUCCUAUUCCCAAGAUCAGCCGAUCCGAAGAGAGUUAGAGAAACUUCCGAUCAUCCGACAGGUUCAUAUUCCAUCAAGAGUCCAAGAAGUCAGGAACCUAUUAAAAGGAAGGAAAGCCUAUCUCAAAGCAUGAAAGAAAAGAUUUCUAGUUCAAUUGAGAAUCCAGAGAGGAUAUUGAAGACAGCUUCAUCCCUAUUUAUUUAUGGAUGUUCAUUGAAGCCGGAGGCUCCAUAAGACAGGGAUAUAUUGUUGGAAGGCGCAAAGAAAGAAGCUCAUUAACUCGAAUUCAAGAAUCAUUAUGAUUGAAUCACCCAUAACCUGGAGGGAAAUCCAGAAUAGACCCGUAUUUCUCCGGACCAUAAACCAUAAGAAAACUCUGUUCAUUGAUUUUACCUGUCCUAGGAGUUCUUCUUUCAUUGCUAUUUCCCGGCUUUUUUGCUUCUAAAUAGGACUAAAUCAAAGAUUGAUAUUUAACGAUAAAAGUACUUUUUUGACGGAUUUUUUGUCUUUUCUUGCUACUUUAUAGGCCCAAAACCUAGCAUUUUCUUGUAUUUCCCUCCGCGAAGGACUAGUCUGAAAUCUAGCAGAUUCAUCUUCAAUCUAGCGGAUUCAUAAUGAUUCUUGAAUUCGAGUUAAUGAGUGAAUUCUGAUUUUCUUUUAUUGACUUUUCCGCCAUAAGACAGGUCCUCCGGACGGCGCAAAGAAUUUGCGAAGAAGGCGCAAUGAAAUAUGCGAGGCUGAAUUCAAUUUUCGUAGCUCUGACUUUCAAAAGAAUGAUCUUUGCGAAGGUUCAGCUUCAUUCCUAUAUAUAGUACUUUGUCUUUGUCUUAACUUAUAUCCAUAUUUUCUUUUCUUUUGGAUUCCUUUCUUUUCAUUAAUUCAUCCUUGAAUGAGGCCUUACGCUGACGAGCUUACCGAUCAAUGGAUGAGAGAUGGAACUCGUACUGCUUCAAGCGAUCGUACUUAUGAUCUUCCCUCUCUCCGCAAUAUUCUUUGCACCUCUCUACACAAGACUGAAGGUCAAUUUCUGAGACCGUCCGAAACAUAGAAGACGCCUUUUACGAUACCAAGAGGAGGAGUGAGCUCAUGGUGGUACCGGGGGACUUCCCCUUCUUGAGACAGGUAAGAGCUACUCCUGCUGCUUCCGAUUCUUUUCUUUCCCUUUGAACCUCUCAUCAUGAGGGGAAAAGUACAUAAUUCAUCCUUGAAGCCCUCGUUGCAGUUCUUCUUUCAGUAGAUUUUCUUGAUGAAAUUGAAUAAGAAGGAUGCCUCAUGAGAGAUCGAUAGGGAGAUCUCAAAGCCAAGGCUUAAGGCGAGGCCUAUUUAUCGUCAUUCCCCUCUAUCAUCUCCUUUCAAAGAAGAAAGAAGUACGCUUAGCAGAAUCGGAGUUCAAGGUCAGACUCAGUCGCUCUAUCUCACUCAGAAGCUUGACCCCUUCAGUCAUUCGACUACGAUCCCAGUUGAUGCUUCAAAGUGCAAAGGCAGUUUAGGCCCACUCCGCGGUCCCUGGAUCUCCGGCAGAGGCUGAGUCAUAAGCCUAGAUAUGAAGAGCUAAAGAACUGGAAGAUUAAGAGGAAGGAAGUUGAUUUCUGAAGUUGAGAAGGAUCGAGUCCAUGCCAGACCUGUAAGAGUCACAAUUGUAUUCUUGAAACUUGCAUGAAUAAGGCCCUAUAGAGGAAGCCACACGUAGCGGUUUUAUCCCAUAGGCUGCUGAAACAAAGGGAUAGCUAAUAUAGUCCCAUAUCCGGUGCUUGGGAAUUGUCUAAAUAGUCUCGCCCAUUGCUGAGGUCAAGGAAAAGCAUACUCACUGUACCGCAACCAACUCUCAUGAGUUAGUUCUAGCUUGAGGAAAGAGAUCAAUAGAAAGAAAAUGAUAAUAGAGAAUGAUAAGACCCCACCUACAGGGCAUACCGCUACGCGGGCACCCAAGUCCGCCGAUUUGCCUUAUUCAUUCAAGAUCUCCCUAGCUACUACCCCGAUCACAAAGAUAGUUGUAGAGGCAGAGGUUCUUUCAUAGGGGUGCCGAACCCCGUUUAGGGCCACUCCGUCUGAUCAUGGAAUAGAUGAGAUAGAUCCCUUUGUUCAUUCAUAAGUUGCCGAUCUUGAGGAAGAUGCAGUUGAAGAAGCUGUUCUUCUUUCAUCAGUGGCUGUUGAAGGAGAAGUCGUCCUUUCAUGAUCCUUUUCAUUGGGGACGUUUCCACAAGUGUGAAUCAAGCAUGAACAAAGAAAGAAUCUCUUAUUUGAAGACGAAAGCAAAUAAUCUCUUUUCAUUGGGGAAUCCAUUGAUUAAGAAUCUUUGACCCUUGUUCAUUGAGGGAAGAGAGGAAAGGAGCGAGACCCGUCCUUUGCCUUUGGUUUGCGCCCCAGAAGGCCCAAAGUCAAAUUUCAUUGAUCCUUCUGACUAUUCAUCCUAUUUAAAUAGUGGGACUGAUUUUAUCCAAAAAAAGAAAAGAUUCCACUAUUCAUCAAGCCUAUCUCCGCAUUCCUUUUAGUUUUCCAAGAAAACAAAAGUAAAAGAACCUUGUAUUUGAAAGAAAUAUCGUUUCUAUGCUAGUGAAAAUAGCGCAUUUGAAUGAAGCUAGGCUCUUAGAGGAGAAGGCUCCUUUUUUCUAGGCUUUCUUUAAACAAACCUACUGAAAAUAAAGAAGAAAGAAGAAUCCCUUCGCUAGGCUUGAUCUUGAUGACUUGAUAGUUUUUUCUAGGCUUUCUUCUUUUUCUUUGGAGCAUUAAGAGUUGAAGGUGAAAUUCAAAAAACCUAUGCUUCUUUAUAACGGCUUUUCCUUUUCCCUCUCUCUCUCUUCCCUGUCCUAGCGAUCUGUAGACGUACCCCUUCACGAGCGAAUUGAAGAAGAAAGAGGACCUUCCCGGAUUUGCACGAUAGUCAGCUAUACUAGCCUACAAUGAAGGAGAGAGUGGUAUGGAUAUGGAGCCUCAGCCUGGGCGUAAAGUGCCUUUGAGUAGCGGGUUAGUGGUAAGGUCCUUCCCGGAGAGCGAGAAAGGCACGGCUGCUUUCAUAGAUGGAGUACAUGGGCCCAGGAAGGACCCCUGGCUAGAAGAGGGCUCACGGCUUGCAUGUACAAGAUCGUAGUUCAAUCGCAGCUUCACCGACGUUCGCGCUGAUCCCGAGCAGCGUCUCAGCCGAGAGGGAACUCAGAAGGGGGAAGUUCUUGCUUAGCAUCACGUGCGAGCCUAACCGUAGCGGGCAUCGAGACUAGGUUCAAAACGUGAAUAGAGUACGUGCGACUUUGGUCAAGCAACAAGCUCUUGAUCGGUACGAUAUAGACGAGUCAUCUAGUCCUCCCACUGUCUAAAGGAGGGCCCAUCCCUGAACAUUUCGGAUGCUAGCAGGGCCUCUUAUCGUCGAGCGGCUUCUUCCUGGACAGUACUGUUGCUGAACUUAUCUCUGAGGAGACACUGAUUUGGGGUGUAUUUUCCCUCCUUCCCAUGUAUUUAUGUGUAUUUUUUUCCCUCGGGGUCACGGCUCCGUAAUUAAGGUCAAAACUUCCAGAUCGGCUUCUUGAACUCCGUAAUUCAGGUCAAGCAAGAUCGGCUGAUCCGCUUAUCUUAUCCGGACCACACACUCUCAGUCUUUUUAUUGGCAUUUCUUUUCCCUUAAGGAACCACAAGUUCUUUCAUUAUAUUUUCACCCUGACCCUACUUCCCAACUUGACCCCUACCUUAGAUUUCCUAUUAGGUUCACACUUGAUCUUCUUUCUUGUAUUUCCCCUUUGCCUUAUUAGCUUCCCUGACCCUAUUCCUUUCCAUAUUAGGUUUUCCCUUAAAGCAUCAAUCUGCCCUAUUUUCUAUAUAUUAUUCCCAUCUGUAGGUUGGCCUACUUCCGCUACUUCCGCCCCCUAUAACCUUGAUUUUUCUUUUUCUUCAGUUUCUUUCUUUUUUUUUCAUCGCUAUGGAUUCAAUCCAGCCACAGGUUCCCCUACGUCUACUCAUUCGAUUUUUUCCCCUACGUGUCUUCGACAUAUUCUAUAUUUGCAUGUGCAUUAUAUUUUUUCCAUUGUUCAAGUUGGUCUUUGUCUGUUGAUUGCGCAUAGCUCUUUCAUCCUUCUUUUUCUUUGUAGCAUACUACAGGCAGGAUCAACUUUGAAUUCAGACAGAUUGCCUUGCGCGCCCUUUGGCAUCAAAUCGUCGAAUGUGCUUUGUCUGUUCAAGCCCUAGCGUAGCUAUCUAGUGGCACUGUCACAACCCCUUCUUGCAUCUCUCGCUAAGCUAAAGGAAGACUUUCUAUUGAAGACCGCUCCCCAUAAAGAAGAGAGGGCUCUCGAGCCUGCUAGUGCCAUUGAUCGGGCUGAACUCUUACCGGCGAGUGAAAUAGAACGUACUGGCUGAAAAGAGUUACUGACUGGCCGGGUUUCACUUUGACUUAAGACUAUUUUGAAUACAAGAAAGAGAGCUUGAAAUGCUUUGAUCACAGGAUCUUUCCUUAGAUGUAGGAAAUUCUCCCUUCUAGCCUAGCUAAGGAAAGACUACCCGCGGAUUUAGCUUGAGUAAUUCUCAUUCUUGGCUAAAGAAGAGAAAUGGCAUCUUUCCUAAGCUAAGUAAGACCGCUAGCGCUUUCUAACCGAAAGAAAGGAACUCGCAGAAGGCUAAGACAAAGCUGCUUCCUAAGUCAGUCAGGUAUGGCUCCAUCUGAUAUGAUUCCCAACAGUCAGCCUUAGACUAAACUCCCUUUCAUAAGAACCUAAUAGAGCGAUAUCCCACAUCAACUCGGUACCCUUCCCUUGCUGGUGACUCUUUCUGACUUACGCCUUGUGAGAAUGAAGAGAGACCACAUACUAAGAAAGAGAGGGCAUGAGAGAAAGAAAGUUCUUGUUUCCGGGCUCAACUAUGGGAAUAAGGUUCAAAGAAUAUUGACGAGCUGGUGGCAUUUAAGUGUGAGGCAGCCAACUGCUGGGUCACGAGUACAGUACCAUACUGCAUCGUAUUAGAGAUGGGCUUGAAAAAGGACCCGCGAGAAGCCUUUUGCACCAAGCCAAUGAGCCAUACCAAUCUGACCCCCGUCUUCUCUUAGUGCGUCAGACUAGUCUUUGCCUUUCAUCGCUGCCUUCCGCUUAGUUCAGGCCGGUCGAGAAAGUAGAGUGACUGACCUGAGGACUCGUGAGCUCGCAGGGCUCAUAGGAUGGGAUGAGGAUCAUAUUCUCUUAUUAUGCCUCAAAAGAAAGAUCAAGCCUAGGGUUGGAGAAAUGUGAACGACGUAAGUCAGUGGAAGCAAAGGGGCAAUCGGCUGUCUAAAGGACCCCAUUUGUGGUUUCAGGCUAAGUUCAUUCUGAGAUAUGGAUCACUCUGCUAUGCUAGAAGACUGAGCAGCUUCAGUUUAUUACCAACCUCGAGUUCAACAACUAUUGGGUAAAGCCUAAACCUUACUCCGAACCUUCUAUCGGAACUGGCAAGAGAUCUCUAGAUCCGAUGCAACUAGAAUAGAACCUACUUAUUUGGAAGAAAGCCUAUCAACAAGGAAGAACCUACUAUUUGGAAUCAGACUCCUAACCUCUGAUUUAUGGGGAGGGAGGCAAGGAUUACGAACUUAGACCUCUCUCUUUGUAUUUGUCUUAGCUUUCUUUUCCUUUUGAGUGGUGAUCAGUCGGAAAUCUUUCUGACUCAUCUGGACCUGGAUAUAAACAAGUCAAAAAAAAGGACUGAUUCCGUAAUUUCAUAACUAAUUCGUAAUGAGUUGGACUAGCGCUAAAAGGAAAAAAAGGAUGAGUUUCAGUGGAUUCGGAAUUCUUAUUUGGGGUCCUACAUUCUCGCAAUAUUCUUUGCGCCUCCGGACCACUAUUUACGAAAAUAUGAUGAAUAGUCCAAAAAGAAAGGUCAAGAUGAUUUUCUGGAUUCGCAACUCAUAUUGCAUUGAGCCUAAGGUUCUCGCAAUAUUCUUUGCGCCUCCGUCCGGACUCCUAACGAUAUAAUAGCUUUUUUUUGGUCAUCUGGUCCGAAAGGACUGACCGCAGAGGUUUGGCUCUUAAUAUGGAUUUCAGACUCGCUCUAAAGUAGGCGCAGUUAAGGAAAAAUUCAAUAUGCGAAAGCCUUGUUGAUUCUCGUUCAGAAGCUCUUUCUUUUCUAGGUCAAGCUUCUCAUAUUCGAUAUAUUAAUUACAUGUCUUUACCGUCGUCGUCUUCUUUUGCGCUCCCCGUAAUAGGACUUUGCGCUCCUUAACAGAAAGGACGUAGUAGGAUCAGUCCGAAGGAGGACUGAUAUCUUAUUAUAUCAGAUUAUUUCAUGAGCAGUUUCGCGGGAGAGAUAGCACUGCAACUAAGCAAGAUUGAUCAUUACGCGUUAAUAAAGAAGACGAGGGCUAGCAACUUCCCUUAAAGCGGUUUACUCAUCCUUGUCUGAGAUUUCAUCCUCUUCCCGCUACGUGGGGGUAGAGUGAUUGUGAAUUAGCGAAGGGUUGAAUUCGUAGAAUGGGUAGUUUUUCAAUGAAGAAAGAAGGCUUUACGAUCGAUCAUAAGCCUCAAAUCCAGAAAGCACUUAUUCAACUGCUUCAACGACAAGAAAAAGAGCUGAAAGAACUACGGGGAGCGCAACGCAUAUUUCAUUGCGCCUUCGGACGGGCUAAAAGAAGAACUGCUAUGGGUGCUGCGGAUUCCCCAGCGGGUUAACCGCGCCCUUUCCCCGUGGGCCUUGAGAGAAGCCUUUAUUUCGCGAACAUUACCUAUCGUCCAUCAACAACGGCUACAAGAACUAAAGCUGGAAGGGCACCUCGCCCUCCUGGGUAACUCCUCUCCUUCCUCCCCGUGGAUCAGUUCGACCUGCGCAGGUUUCGGGAGUGAUGAAAGUGCAAAUCGUAUCCAAACCACCAGUCAAAUAAGAUUUCGGGGAAUCUGAAUCCUCAGCAUUAAAUAAAUGAAUUAAGAAAUACACGCCUUGGGACGGAAGACGAAGAGCGAGGACGACGGAGUUUACUUACCGAAGAGUCCUUAGACCUGAGACUUAGGAAUUCGUAGUUUCGGAGGAUGCAUAAGACAGGGAUAUAUAUUGUAGGAGUUGACGGCUCGACUGUAAGGAGAGGGAGAGGAAAAGAAGCAAAUAAAGAGGUUAUCCAUUAGGUUAUCUCAGAACUUUUCUUAUCUAUCUUAAAGGAGUGAGGCAGGUAGAGGAUAAGCUACUUCUGCAGCAAGAAAAGCAGCUACUGCAACUGCCCGGAAGAACUUCUGAAGCAACUGGGACAGCAGCCUCAGUCAAUAUUCUUUGAACCUUGAUUCGGACACAACUGCAACUUCUGCCUCUUCGAGAAGGCGUGCGGGUCGAGCGUCUCGUCCUUAGCCUCGUCCACUUUCCGAUGUGGAGUAGUUAGACAGUUUGGCAUGGCAUCCUUCUUGUCAGUUAGUUCGGUUCGGGAAUCUUUUCUCAUUAACGAGAUUAAUGAGUGAAUUAAGGCUACGUGGACUUCUUUCAACUUGUCUGCAAGAAUACCGAAGCGAAGACGAGGGCACAACGACUGCAACUUCAGCCUAUCCUUCUGCUGGAACGGUCUACUGCUCCUGCCACAGCCUCCACCUCCAGAACCUAGACCUCAUCUCCUUCCGCCACAACCAAGAGAUCUUGCUUUUAGUGAAACCGGGGUUUCGUGCUCACUAAGCGCCCCCACUACGCGGUGGAUGCCCACUGCUGCGCUAAAAUACGAGGUUUGAAUCUGCACUCCUGCACUUCUCCGCAAUAUUCUUUGCGCCUCCUCUUGAGUUGUCUUUCUUCUUUCUCUCUUCUUUUACUACGCGGCAAGGCAAGAUUUCCUUCGCAUAUUUCAUUGCGCCUCCUCCGCGGUUAAGCUUCGCUUCUAGCCUUGCCUCCAGUUCCUUGCCUCCGGUUGCUCCUUUGGAGUCUGAUUUUCACUCCUUCUCCGGGCCAAGAGAUAAUCAGCCUUCGGCUGGAGUGCAAGUGAAAGAAGACGUAAAAGGAGGAGUGCAAGCGCAAGUCCUUCUACGCGGCAAGGAAUAAGACGUAUAAAGAAGUCCUCGCAUAUUUCAUUGCACCGCUCCGUGGGGCUGAAUGAAUUGAGAGAAAGAAUAUUUCACUUUCUUUGUCAUACGUAAUCUAAUAUCAAAUCUCGGUGCCCCUACGAGAAGAGGUCAGUUUCAGGUCACAGAAGGAGGAAUGGAAUAGGGGUUUCCGAAGCAAGCUAUACAUAAAGGGAAAAGGAGAGACAGGGACCAAGAGCACACUAUUCACUAUUUUUUAUAGGGUGAGAAGUAAUCUCAAUCAAUACGCCAGGCGGACCCCUCCAAAAUCAUUGAGGCGGUAUGGAGUGUGAUCCCCCCACGUAGCGGUUAGGAUUCUUCUAUUUUCUCUUAUAAAGUCAAAAGGGGUGCGUGCAGAUCGAAGGAGUUGUCGCCUAACUUCUCCUUUCAUCACCUUCUGGAAAUCUUCCAGUCCGUAGGACUAUCCAUUAGAAGGGCCUCAAGAGCGCCCACUUUAGCUAAAUAAUAGAGUGUCCAGCUGACUAUCCAUAUAGAACGAAGGUUAGGAGCAAAGCAUAUUGCGUGGAACUGAAAGAACUCAUUCAUUCCACAGAUUAAUAUGUCCUUAUCAAUGAAACUCAUCUGGAGCUUGAUUUUUGGCUCCAUAAGACAGGGAUAUUGUAGACGACGGAGCAAAGUUCUUUAUAGCUGGACCCUUUCGUCAUUCCUUUUUUAUUCCACUGAUUUUCUGGGUAGCGGCCGAGUGCCAUAACUAAACUCUGUUGGAUCAACAAAGCUCUUUCUUUCAUUAGAGGCAGAAGCUAAUUGGCUUUUUUCUUCUUCUUCAGUCAAAACUGAUUAAGUUUAGAUAGGGUCGCAAUAUUCUUUGCUCCUUUUCUUUAGCUCGAGCAGCUGAACUCCUCUUCUCUAGGUCGAGACUGAAUACCUUUUCUCUAGGUCGAGACUGAAUACCUCUGACUCGUGAACUCAACUCCUAAUCUUCCCGGGGGGAAAGCCUUAACCUACUAUUUGGAAGAAAGCCUAUCUCCGGCUAUUCUUUUUCGAAUGUAGCAGCAGGCAAGCACUCCUCUAUAAGGCCUUUCUUUUCACCCUUUAGCUAUGAACCCACUCCGCGGUAAAAUGGUAGUUGGUCCCUUAAUCAGGCAUUAAGCCAGAUCCCGGGUAAACCAAUGCCCCUUAACCGGUUCAAAGCCUACCACAUUCUGGACUCCGUCUUUAUGAAAGAAAUUUACGAAAGAUCUCAUACUCAGAACUGAAAAAGAUCGGAAACUUGAAUCUUUCUUAACUCCUUCCACUGGGACUUCUUCCUCUUGUCCGGCCCAAUCUAUUCUUUCUCAGUAAAGCAUAUUAUCUCCUCUCUCGAGCUACUUUAUUCCUCACCUCUCCAGUCGAGCCAGAUUCCUCUUGAUCCGGGGAUCUUCCCUUUCUAAGAUGAUAGAUGCUAAUCGUACUACUUUGUAUUCCUCCUUACUCAUUCCAAUGCAUUCGAAUACCCUCAUAAUCGUAUGAAACUUCUCAUUCAAGGGAUCCAGCUUCGGAAACUGGGCCAUGCAGCCUAUGGCUUCGCGGAGAUCCCAAUUCUCCCUAUAGAAGAAAAGGAGUAUAUUCACAUUCACUCAAUAAGAAGAAUUUGAACUAACUAUUCCCAAUGAGAUGAGAAGGAGAAUCAAAGGAAUUUCCUCCUAUAAAAAUCAGUGAACAUUGGUCCAUAAAUGAACUUUGCUCCGUCGCUAAUUCUUUGCGCCUUACUAUUUUUGCUUCACGUCCGGAGCCUUUGUUAUUUGAGUAUUAUUCCACGAGCGCGCCAUUUCGCUAAUUCUUUGCUUUUCGCAAGUCAAAUUCUUCUCAUAAAUAUUCUUUGCACCUAUUAGCCGUUUUUAGGUUCCCACUCCUUUUGCAUCAAAAUAGAAGUUGCGCUUUCUUGUCAAUGGAUCUGGCUUUGACGCUUCUAGCCAUCUCGCCUUCUAUCCUGUGUUUGAGUCACUUGUAGUACAUGAAAAAGAGAAAGAUAAGAAACCCCUCUAAAGUAGCCUUCCUCAUUAGGAAGGAGAGUUGGACUAGCCAACCAGCUACACCUAUGAAUCAUGACUUCACCAAAGCGAUAUUCCAUGAAAGAAAGAGGGAUGAGCCACUUUCUGACUUCUGUCUGAAGCUUGUUUUGACUCUCAAUCAUUAGAAUUUGACAGCAAUGAAAAUAGUCAAAUCACAGUCUCCCUGAAUGAGGCCUUAUAGCUCAGAUCUCUCAGCUUACCGAAGAAGGGAUCGAGCAGCUCUGUCCCUAGCGGGUAUUCCAAAGAAAGCGAGCACCUUUCCAGGGAAUCUAUCCUAUAUUGGUCCAUUCUCUCCAGAACGGAGAAUUGUGCUUAUGAGGACUGACGCUUGAUCUCUCUCUUACACCUCCAAAAGAUCUCCAAAGGUCCGUAGGUGGAGCUCUAGCCGAGUCAACUUCUAACCGCGGAGUGGGAGUAGUGAAUAGUGAGUUAUCUUCCCCUUGGGAAGGGCACAUGGGGCACAUACAAGCGAGGGUAUUGGUUCGGGUCGAUCGGCUGAAGCAAGAGUAGUUGCGGUAACAUAAUAGGAAUCUGUCUAUCCUUUAGACCUACUACCUGGCACCAAAGACCUCUGAAAGUAGCUGGGCUGGAGGAAUCUUCGACUAUAGACGAGCAAGGGCUUUUUUAUGUAGCUAGAGAUCUUUCAUUCCCUCUUUCAUAGGAAGAGAGGUUUCAUGGGCCCGACGAACUCUUAAUGGAAGACCUAAUUUUCUUCAAUUUCUCUCUAAGGGGUUCAAUCUCUCUAAAUGUUCACAGGCUUGGGAGACUUGGCCUUCGACUCAGUUAAAGAGAAAAGAAGUAAUCAGCUGGAAGCCUUCUUUCUUUUAUAUAGAAGGCUCCUGAUUUUAGAUUCCCACGGGAACAUGGAGCAGGUCGCUGCACACAUCAUCCUAGAAAAGAUGUGGUUCAUCGUCAAAAGAAGAAGAAUGGGAUCUCAUUUCCUAUAAAUUGACUGGAUGUUCUCAGUCUACUUUGACCUAGUCAACUUGGCAAGGUAAGUCAAGUAGUUCAUGAGGAAUCAUCAUUAGCAUUCGCGGGGUACAAAGCCAAGGCAUCCUUAUCUUGGGAGUGAAAAUGAGUUCUAUCUUAUACAUUUUUUUCAUUAGUUGUUUUGCUUGUCUUUUCAUCUUUUUUCAAUCACGUGACGAUCAUUCUAUUUCCAGAUGGAAGACCUAAUUCUUAUUCGUUGAUUGGAGAUUAAGAUGUUCCCACGUAGCGGUAAUUAGUAGGUGUCAACGGAAAGUCAGGCAUAGAAAGUUGGCGGUUCGGCAUAAAAGAAAGCGGAAAUCUUAAUCUCAAAUACUUUGAGCCUUCAGUUCAGAAAGAGAUAAUACGCGGUAGAAUUCCACCUGUGCCUGAGGCGUCUUCCCUUAGAUGAGAAGAGAGUUAUCAGCGCUUUCUUCAUUAAUGGGAAGGAACAUCCCCUUUGAAAGAUCGGAACUCUCUUUAUGAGUUAAUAACAGUCCUCAAACAAGAGGGAGAAUUCCUAUGAACUGAAACCGACCCGAGAGUGGCUUUUUAUUGGAUUCUUCCUGGGCAAUAUUCUUUGCGCCUUUCUUCCUAUUCGAUCCUAAUUCCAUUCCCUUAGGACAGAAAAAAACCCUUGCUUCCUUCCUCCUACGUUUUCUCGAGUAUGCCUCUUGUCUCCUUUGUUCCAAAACUGUUAACAACAAUACCGGUUCAGACUUUCUUUCUAUUAAGUCGUAUGAAUACCGCUCCGUGGGCCGAGACACCUCAAGAUAAGAGUGAGUUAGAGGUGAGACUUCGUACUCUUCCCCGCGCCCUACUAAUUCUAUCUUAGCUUUCUCGCAUAUGAAUAAUAAAAUAAGAAAGCAGAAUAACUAAAGACGCACACCCGAUCGAAAAACAUCGGCUUCUAUAGCGACUUCAACUGCAAAAGCAAGCGGAACAGCCCCACUCACUGGAGGAAGAGGUUCAUUGGUCAUAUACGAUCCCACGUAGCGGUGGGAAGUUGGGUACAGGCUGAGUUGGGAUGGGAAAAGAAGAUCUCAUCGAAAAGACUAGCCCUGCGCCUGAACUAGAUAUGACAUGCCCUCCCCUGUGAGCCCCCAGUUUCAUUCAUCAGAUUUAGGUUCGUUGGCUCGGAAGAAAAGGAGGCAGCAAAGGAGCUUGAGACGAGGGAAAGGAUAAGGAUCUCUUGCAUUGCAGACUAGGUUGAGGUCCCAGACCUAAUCAUUGACUUGUUGACGCUGCCCACGUAGCGGAGUCCUUAGUGGAAUACUUUUUCGCAAAUUCUUUGCUCCUAGUGGAGGUUCAAAGAAGAUUUCAGGGCUGCAAAUGACAAAGACUAUUACUUUUCUUACUAUGCGAAGCGACCACCGGAGGCGCAAAGAUCUAUGGCCCACUACGGGGGAUAUUGUAGUUUGAGUUCCAUAAAGAACUCCUUCGGAGGGGGGAGGAGCUCUUUAUUCUUUUAAGUAGGUUUAGUAGGUUAAUGGACUUAGGAGUCUUUUCAAGAGGUUCCCCGGAUUUAGAGUCAAAAGACUUUUGCCUUCUCAUUCAUACGAGCUUGCCGAUCGACGGAUCUUUCAUCCUCAACGGUUAGCAGCACCACCGUCAAUGCCGAAAAAAGAGGAUAGGUCUUGCCUGAACAAAGCUCUUUCGGAAAUUCUGCUUGGGUGAAAAGAAUAUUGAAGCUCGCCUUACGAUCUCAUGAUCUAGCGGACGGCUUCUUCUCGUUCAGCAUUUUACCAUAGGAAAUCUUUUGGAAUUGAUGAGAUUUAUGAGUAGUCUUUCGUUGUCCCAGUUCUUCUUUCAACUGAAUAAAGAACUUUAACGGAGACUGAAACAGCCUCAACUGUGGCUCUCGCAGCGCGGCUUGCCUCCCUCCUCCUUUCAGAGUCAAGAGGACCCCUGAGACCUUUAAAUACGACUUCGAUCAUUCUUUGAGCCUCCGUCGCAAGUCAAAUUCUCUAAUGGAUAGGCCUUCCCCCGUCCUCCGUCCUCGCAAUAUUCUUUGCGCCUAGCCUUCGGACCAGUCCGGAGGACUAUCCAUAUUCAGGAGCGGAAUCAAGAAUAGACCCGUCAGUAUCCGGACCAGAAACCAUAAGAAAACUCUGUUCAUUGAUUUUCCCUAGAUUUUGCUAAUGGACCAGUUGCAAUUUCCCGGCUUUUUUGCUUCUAAAUAGGACUUUUUCGACUUUUCUUAUCCAACGAUAAUAGAGAAAAAAGAAGGCAUUUUUCAUGAUUUCUUGCUACUUCCCUAUGGGCAAAACCUAGCAAAAUCAUGGAAUUCACUCCGUCUUCAUUAAGCAAAGAUGUCUGAAAUCUAGCACAAAGAUGUCUGAAAUCUAGCAGAUUCAUAAUUCUUCUUGAAUUCGAGUUAAUGAGUGCAUUCUUCAGCACUUUCUAUUUCUUUCUCCUAAUUUGUAAACUCGAAAUCUGAAAAGAGCCUUCGCUUCUUUAAUGGGAACGUUGUAAAGGGUAGAAAACUCCUACAAGAUCCAGAAUUAACCGAAGGAGGACCUGUCUUAUGGCGCCUUCUUUUUCUUCUUUGAACCUCCGGUAAAAUCACUUUGCUCCGUCGGAGCGGUCCCGACCCUUUUUAGAGCUUGAGGAUAGGGCUAGUCCGCCGAUUUGAGUUACCUUGCUACCCUUCUUCCCCAACCGCGUAGUGGGCCCGCUCCGUGGGCUGCCCACUGACUAGAAUAAUUAUAGUAAUUCUUCUUUCUCUUCGUCCUACGAAGGCUCCGGAGGCUCAAAGAAUUUGAGUCCUUAUAACUUGUUCAUUGACUUUAUUGUAGAAGCUUUACGGAAUAAGACCUCUCCCCUUGGUAUCCUUCUUCCUCAGUCAGUGCCCUAGCCAAUGAGCUAGCUCAAGUCGCUACGGAAAGAGAGAAAUACCUUUUCAGAAUCAGACUAUCCUAGUCCCAUUAAAGCAAGAAGGCUUCAAGAUCAAGAUUCAGAGUCAUAAAAACAAGAACAUCGACCGCCUUGAUUCUGUUCAUUGAGGCGGAGCCCACUCCGCGGUACCAAAGCAAAGAGGAAGAGAAUCAAUCGUCGGAGACGGAGAGAAAAAAUCACUCAUAGGGCGUCGGCUGCUAGACCCCCACGGAGCGGUAGGAGCUGUGGGAGAGGAAUGAAAUAGCUCGACCGGAGAAAUCUUUCUCUUUUUUCUCUUUGUGCACAUUGACCCGCUUUCUUCAUUUUUCGAGUCAAAUCGGUCUCGGAUCGUCCGUUGGGUCUAAAGAAGUAGGUUACGAAGGCGCAAAGAAUAUUGCGAAAGAGAGUUGGAUCUCAACGGCUUACUAUCAUCUCACUAUUUGAAUGGGAAGGUAUUUGAUUCAAAGAAGAAAAGAAGAAGAAAGGAAUUUCCCGCAGAGGGCGCUAUGCAGCUGAGUUGGAGUACGAAAGGUAACUGAAAGAAGUGAGAAUUCUCUCCGAGUUGACUCUUUAAGAUCAGGAUAGAUAUGAGACCCCGGUCUCGGAAGUUGAACUCUCUUAACUUAAAUGAGGCACUCGCUCGCUCAGAGGUAGCGAGACCGUCAUAUCCAAAAUGUCCAGGGAGAACUAGAUGGCCUUCACAUACUCGCUUUGGCUUCGCUUUCUUCUUUUGAGAAUGCUGUAGCUUAUCUUGUUGAAGCGGUAAGCUCUUCGUUAUUAAGGCCUUUGAAGGAGAAAUCCUUUUCUGAUUUUCUAAUAAAUAGGUUGAUUUAGCUGUCCCUCUUUCAUUCGUCGUGACUCCAGAGUCAGCUAGAGAAGUUAUGAGAUCGGAUCUCGUCAUGAAUAACUAAGAAAAAGAUCCCAUCUGUCUUGGAGAGAAAGCUAAUAUGAUAAGAGUUAGAGAGUCAGAAAGAGAAGCUUGAUUAUCUUCUUAUUACUUCUUAUAAUCAGAAGCAGAACCUUCUAAACUAAAUCAAGAAUGCUCUCGAACCCUAAAAAACCUACGGCAACCUAGGUUAACCUACUAAGAAUCAAGAAAGCGCAACUUCUAUUUUGAUGCCUUCGGUUGACUGGUGGCAUUCGAUGGCGGUCGAUCGGUCAGCUUUCGCUUUCAUUCAUGAUCCCCGCUUCGGCAUUCAAGACUCAUAAGGCAAGUAUCAGAUAGGUUGGUUCUCGUGCUAGCAUGAAAGGAUAGGAUCGAAGGAAGCGAAGCAGCUCCUACAAUACCAGUUAUCGUUUCAGAAUCGGAAGAAAGAGAUUAAGCACUAGACCGAAUCGGAACUGCUCUUCAACAUUGUUCACAUGGCUGAAAGCCUAUUUUCAAGGUCACAGACGGUAAAGCCAGCUAACCCGAGUCGGAGAAGCUUUCCCAUAUUUUGAGGAAUGGAACUGCUCGAGCUAGUUUACUCGGGAGAGAGGUAGGAUCGACUGGAUCGGUGUUCAUCGGCUAUCCCAAGCGGUUAGGUGCUCUUCGAUCGGGGAAUGUUUUCGUAAGGCCUAACCUUUCACUCCCACUCCGCGGUUCAAGGGUAGGCUUUCUUCUUCUUGUCUUUUCAUCAGCAGCUCGUUAAAAGCCACGACCGACUACGCGGUAACUCACCUCAACGGCACCUGAAAAAGAAAGGCUUGCUCUUGAUCUUGAUGUCAGUCUCUCUCCCUCCUUUAUCGUCUCCUCUGGCUUCUUUUGACUUGGAAAGUUUCGCAAUAUUCUUUGCACCGCAAAAGAAAGCGGAAAUCUGAGCAAUAUUCUUUGCGCCUCCUCUUAUUCAAGGGAUGAGGCUUGAGCCUCAGACUCUUCCUUGGUCUACGAGGCCUACUUCGUUCUGCCGACUAGGUCCCCCCUUCCUUGGGGCGGGAUGAAUAUGGGGUUCUCGUUCUGGAGAUUAUGGGAGAAAGGGUUGAAAGCCUUAGGCAAUACAGCUUACCAUCUAAUUCUCCUCGAGCGAUCGGCUAAGUUAAUACUCUACUCUAAAGAAAGAGAAAAGACAAAGCACUUCUUCAACUACAGAAUUCCCCUAGGCUGAUUAGCCCUCCGCGGUGGGGAGUCGUCAGAUCUUUCAAGGGAAGUUUGAGAUAAUAGUCACCUGGACCUUUCUUUCAAGAUUAAGCUAGAAGUCCGACGGGUCCUCCGGACAGGUUAAUAUGGUAAUUAUAAGGGGUCCAGAUGCGCAAAGUGCGGCUACGUAGGACCAAAGAAUAUUGCGUGGAACCUUAAUAUGUGAGUCAUGAUUCCCUUAAAUUGGAUUUCGCAGACUUUGGAUCAAUGAAAUUUGAUGAUGAUGAGGCUCGACUGAAAGGAGAGGCGUGAAGAGUCUUUUAAUAAAGAGAAAAGAGCUGCUUAAUUAGGAAGGAAAGAGAAGGCUUUCUCUCUAGUAAAGCUUUUUUUGUUCUGACUUCUCCGUCUGACCUUUCUUCUCUCUCAUUCGAUUCUGACUUCAGUUUCUAGUCUUCUUCCUUCUCUCUCCUUUCCAGUCUGAUCAAUUCUCAACUCAUCUGGAGCUCGCAAUAUUCUUUGCACCUUACUUAAGAGUCUCCUCAAUUAAUCUUCGCCUCGUCCCAGUUCUUGUUUCAGAAGUGGUGACCCUAGGCUUUCUCUCAACUGAUACAACUCAUCUUCUCAUAAGAAAUAAUCAUAGGCUUUCUCUUUGGACAUAUAAGUGGUUUAUCAAGCUCUUCUGAGCUUAGGCGUCUUUAUGUAAUAUGCUUCUUAGUCUAGUCUUGAAUUACUAUUCUCAGAAAUUGAGUCGAUCUUGUGCAAGGUUCUAGAACGAGAUAGAAAGAAAUUGAGGACAGUCUUGUGGAGAGAGGGAUAUAGGAUCAGUUGCAGGGAAGAAGCUAGAACCAGCUAUCCCAAAUGAGUCGGGGAGGCAGAAUCCGUCUGAUUAUUAGGAUAGGGAUAGGGCUAGGCCGGGGCCGUCCUGUGGCACUGAAAUCCGCUUUCAUCUAUUCUCAGAGGCCCACGUAGCGGUUAUCAGCAGCUUUCAAGGAUAGGUCCCUUUCUUAUGGCGGUCUGAAUAUCUUUUCUCUUAUUCCGGCAUUGACCGCGGAUUACUAUCCCGAGGAAAGGGAAAGGAUAGGUUAUUCAAUAUACCGAGUUGGAGAGGUGUUCAUAUCGAGACUGGGUUGGAUUUAGAGUGAUGCUCCGUCAUCGGUAACUUCAAGAGAAAGACUUCCAGAGUCAGCUACACCGGAUCCGGAUUGACCCUCGAGCCCAUGACAGGGGAUUUCCGCUCGAAAGAAGAAUGAAAGAAGGCUAAAUUCAAUGGACCUAAUGGAUAGUCCGGAGGACUUCGGACGGAUGAAAGUAGCUACGUAGUCUUGUCUUGACAAAGAUCAGGAUCCUCGAUCUCUUUAGCUUCUUCAUUUCAUUGCCCACGCUACCCCUCAUCCAUUAGUGCAUCCAUUAAGUCAGAAAUUCAGUAUGAAGAACCUCGUAAAUCAAAGCCUUACUAGAAUAGAACCUCACGUCAUAGGGGGCAAAGAGGAGUCUUAUUCCACUUAUCCCUCCUUUGAUUUUAGCUCCUUUCGCAUCCCUGCCUUAAGAAACCUACGCAGUGCUUCGUCGUCCAAGUGUGGCUGCUCUUUGAAGUUCCUCGUAGGACAAGUAAUGGGCCAAUAAAUAGGGUCAGAAGGAGUGGCCGCAUAAGCGGUUCUUAUCCAUAACCAAAGGACUAGGAAAUAUGGUCCGAAGAAUCUAGUAUUUCAUUGCAUUUUCCCUAGGGACUGAUCGAUGUUCUUGGGAGAAAGCCUAUGAUUUUCUUGUAUUUUUUCUACUAUUAGAAGUAGAAGCAAGAGGAAUUUAGCACUCAAUAUUCUUUGAGCCUCAUCCGUUGUUGAAGAAAUCUCUUUACUGCGACCGAUACUUAUUUUCUUUUUUUCGGAGAAUCGGACAUAAUAAGGAAGAGAAAAACUAAGAAAGGAUGAGUACGAAAAGCUCAAAAUAGUGGCUCGACCCUCUCCCUACGGUCGAGUCUCUUCGACCCUCUCCUCUCGUUCGUAACCUCACUCGACCUCCGACUAUUUAUUUGGAAGAAUUGAAUUUUGAUGCCUCUCGUUCGGUUCGUAAACUCACUCUCAUUGCACUCCUUAACACUUCUCAAUUUCAUCGAGCCUUUCUCUGAAACUGAAAGAGCAACCGCCGAAAGAACUAAUUCAGGGACAGCUGAAGAAAGGGACGCAACUCUGAGAGUGAAAACAUAGAAAACGAGAAUUAACGAAGGGCUGACUUUGCACUGCUCCGUGGGGCUUCUCAAACCUUUGUUCAUUGUACUCAAAAUUAAUCUGCUAGAUUUUUGACAUCUUUCAUUAUCGUUCAAGUCGUUUAGUACGAGAUAGCUGAACACCUCGCGGUGCUUACACCUCUCGCCUAUCGAAGUGAUGUUCAAAAACCUCGUCCGAGAACUUCUAUAAAGAAGGAUUUCCCGCGGCGCAGCGGUUCUUCCAUACCAACUUAGCUGCCCGGCGCUCCGGCAUAAGAACCGGUAUACCAUAGGUUGGCCCAACCCAGUUCUCUCUAGGGUUGGCUCCUCGCAGUUCUCCCUUGAAUUUCACACCAACCCUACAUAGGAAGCGAAAGAGACUAUGACGCAUUCACCCGAGGGGGCUCGGGGACUGGGACUAGCAAAUGAAUGAGUAAGAAAAUCAGACUCCCUUAGCCGUCGGAAGGAGGAUCAAUGUCUGAAUACGGGUCCUCCUCCGGAUAAUGCCCCACUAACAAGCGGUUUACUACCAAGCGGACCUCCCCCUCAUUUGUCUCCUCUAUCGGCUCGCGAUCGGCCUUUAUAAAGGCUUCUAGGAAAAGCCGAUCCGCCGUCUCCUGAUAGAAAACCACAGAUUUCCCACGAGUAUCGGGGUUCAUCAGAUAUACUUCCAUUUUAGCAAAAUGGGACCAGAUAUCCCCCCGCCCCUUGAAACCCAUGGGCCAAAGGGCAAGAUCGUUGGAGAAAAAGGUCCGCAAAGUAGUACUUUGCCUUUCAAUGACAAGAUUUGCUUCCCCCUCGACAAUCCCUUUUCUUCUUAUCUUAAGGGGGUAUCAUUUUGAGGAAUCGGAAUAAGGGCCAAAUUGAGAAGAUCUAGCCUCUUUCUCUCAAAUUUCGGUAGAUGCAUAUAGAGAAAGAGGUCUAUCACCGGUCUCUCAUCUUCGUCCUUAUGCAUUCUCUUCAGAAUAAUGGGGUCCAUCUCGCUCCUUUCCUCGUGGGAAGGCAAUAUUUUGAGGAUGGACUUCGGGGCCGAGAAGAGGGAAGGUAAAAAAGACAAAUAAGGCGGCCCAUCCACAUCCCCCGAAAACCGGAAAACCUUCAUACCGAACCCUUCCUUGUCAUAGUAAACAUAGGGCCUUUUGAUUUUUUCAUAAUCAAAAUGAGUGAAAUAUUCCUCGGCCACCAGCUCGUUAUAUUCAAGGAAGGAAUCCGAAUUUAGGUUCUCCUGGGUCGAAGCUCUCAUCAAGAAAGCUGACCAUAGCGUUGCUAUUACUCUUUCUUCGGAGAAAUUCUCCAAUUUAGAGAAAAACUUGAGGGGAAUCACUUUUUCCCCGCAAGCACAACUUUCUUCUAAUAAAAAGUCUGGCAUUGUCCUACCAAUCAGAAUUAUAGGCACAUUCUUUUUACGCCUGCCCGAAUAAUGAGGCUGAGGCCCAUCCAGUAGCGUGAGCAGCUGGCUCCUCUUAUCCGGCGAAAUUCUCCAACCUGCAAAAUCGACUUUAUCUACUAAAAUCAGGUCCCAGUUAUCCUCAACCUCCACCCGUGCUAACCCUUCAUGGACAGUGGCGAAGACAUUUAAGACUUUGCUAACGACAUUGAGAAAAAAAAAAGAGUCUUCUGGGUUUCCGGACCUCCAUAAAUAAAGAGUUGCCGGGUGCGGAAGGGUCGACUUGCCAGUAGAUUGAAGGCAAUCCAAUCAAGUAAUAAAAACUUCUCGUUUAGCUCCUCGGGCAUAUACUCCUUAGGCCAUCCCUUAUCGGAUAGAUAGUCGAUCAUCCGCUCGGGAAAGCUUUGAUGAGCUAAUGAGCUGGCCAUAUUACUGAUAAGAUGGAAAGAUAAAGAGAAAGAUAAGGGCAUGAGUAACUUGACUUUUCUUAGUCCCACCCCGCAAUACUCUUUGGAAAUGAAGGAGGAGGCCAUAUGAGAAUGAGAACGAGUGAUAAGAUGGAAAGAUAAAGAAAAGAGCAUCUGCAAUCAUAGAUAUGGGGUUUUUUUUCCGCUGCCCCACAAAAUGAAAGGGCAUACUUUGAGUAUGCUGGUAUUAGCCAACAAGCAAGAAAUUCGUUAGGCUUUUAAUCCUAAAAAAGCGUGGGAGAAGAAUAAAGAAGUCAAUGAAAAGAAGAAGAAAGCAAAAGAUAUAGAAUGGACGAAGGGGCAGAAAGAAAGAAAUUUCGGGUGAGCCAUUCGAUCUCAUUAACGAUAAUGAAGGAAUACACGAGAAUGAAAGAAUCAUUAUGAUUGAAUAACCUUGUUCAUUGGGAAUCAAGAAUACCCCUGUCUUUGUCCGUCCUCCGGACUAUCCAUUAGAAAAGAAAAC
rnacentral:lncRNA from 1 species